ACGAGGACAACUUCGACGCCACCAGCAACCUUUCCGUUAUAAUCAACCCCACCACCAAGAAAACCAUCACCGACUACGGUUCCCCUGAGGAGUUCCUCUCCCAGGUCGGCUUCCUCCUCGGCCAGCAGUCCUACGGCGGCAAGACCGACUCCGAGGUCUAAUAACUCCUUCNUUCUUCUUCUUUGUCGCACCUCCAAUCCAUACAUUCCCUAAGUGUGCUGACGAUGUGAGGAUGCAGGGCGGCUUCGAGUCAGACGCUGUGGCGACGGCCAACGUGCUCGAGAGCUCGGCGCCGGUGGUGGACGGUAAGCAGUACUACAGCAUAACGGUGCUCACCAGGACCGCGGACGGAGACGAGGGAGGGAAGCACCAGCUCAUCACCGCCACCGUCGCCGACGGCAAGCUCUACGUCUGCAAGGCGCAAGCCGGAGACAAGAGGUGGUUCAAGGGCGCCAAGAAGUUCGUCGAGAACGCCGCAGGAUCCUUCAGUGUCGCAUAAAUAUACAUGACCGAUCGGCGAAUUUAAUGGAAUCUCCUCAGGGAAGCACCGUGUAGAGACCGAUCCAGGGCAUGCAUGUGUGUUUCUUUGAUUUGUACAUGAGGAUGGAUGAACUAAGAGGUCGAUUUCCCUCAAGGAUUCAUGUGUGCACAAUGAUUAAGAAAUCUUAGUAAUAAUGUUUCAUUUUUGUAUCUCCUUAUCUUUGUUGGCAGCGCUUCAGUUUAGUGUUGUGAAGAAUGUUUUCUCAGUCUGCUCCCUCCUAUCAAAAGCGAGUACCCAUACAAAGUUGGGUGGUUUUGCUAAUCCUCAAUUGACUGAAAUGUAAAAUCACACAAGUCGAUUUCGUGAAGUACAGAGGUAGCGCACAAGGUUGAAGAGGAGGGUGACGCGGCAAAACAACGAUGACGCGCAGGGUAGCCAAUGGAGGGUCAUCCGCCGGGGUGUGUAGAGACUAGAGAGUAGAGACCAGUCAAAAAAAAUUGCGAUCCACACACUUUCUAUACCGGCACUAAACUUAUGGGUUGACUGACAGUCUGACAUACUUCAUAUUCAGUCUAAAUUUGAGAUGGAUAUUAAAAGGUAUGAUAUGUCCGUCAUAUCCGUUCAUCGUAACCUCAUAUAUAUUUGUACGUUCAUCAUAAACCUCAUAUAUAUUUGUAUACAUCCGUUCAUCACACUAAACCUUGCCACUCCACCCCGCUCCGUUUCACCCUAAGCUCCCUUCUGGCGAUCUAUGGCCCUAUCCGACAUAUGACGGGUAGCGAACCAAACUCCUUCGUAAUCUCAUUUAGGGACUAGGAUCUCAUCCUAGUCAGGUCCGAGGAGGAGAUGACCGUCCGCACUGCGGACCGCGCUCCACUGCGCCCACGGGGAGAACGUUCGACAGCGGUCGAACUCGAUCGGCGAGGACACAUAGCGUCCGCCCAAAUGGCGCUCAGAUCCGGCGCGAGGCGCGGUACCGCUGCCUCGUCGAAAGAGAUGUGGUCCGUCUCGCGUCAAAACACCAUGGUGUACAUGCACGCCCUUGGUUUGCACGCCGACUUGGAGGUCUUAAAUGGCCUUUCCACUAAUGCUAUGGUGUUGCAUGCCCGCCAUACGAGACAGAGGAGGCGCGAGGCCGCGACAGCCCUCACAACAAAUGUGUGCGAGGCGGAGUGUGAUACGUCCACUUUGCAUCAUUGAUCCUUACUAUAGUUUAUCUUGGUUUCAUGAUAUAUUUCACAUUAUGGUGUAAUUCUAAUACAAUUUCUCUCUCAUAACGCAAGUUUAACUAAUAGAGGGGGAUUACUCGCAGGUGGAAUUCUGGACCUAAAAUAGCAAGAGAAGAGAAAACACUUUUCGAGAGCUCAAAACUAAGUGUGGAUUUUUGGAUAAAUAUUUUAAAAUAUAUAAAGAAUAUUGAAGCACAGGAGCACCAUGGGAACCCACGAGACAACCACAUGACCAGGUGGUGCGCUGGCCGCUCCACCUGCCCCUGUGAUACCAUGGGAGCUCACCUCCCGAUGCCCUUCGGUCAUAAAUUCUCUUUUACCUUGAAAACAUCACUGAAAAUGCCCGGGACUAUCUACCACCGUAUGCGAGGCGAAACUUGGCCGGAGCAGUUAUGCUCCCCGACGGAGCGAUUCUGUCGGGGAAAUUUUCCUCUAGGAGGGAAAAAUCGAAGACUUCAUCAUCACAAACACUACGUUCAUCGUGGGGAUCAUCAUCUUAAUCAGCACUACCUCAUCUGUAAACCAUAGCUCAUUUGUUGUGCUAAAUAUUUGUAUCAAACCUCACAUUGGUACCUAGGGUUUCUUAUAGAGUUGAGUACAUCUUCUAUUUGAUGUUUUUUGGUUUAAUUGGUGGAAAUUUGUUAUGUUCAAAUCAUUAAUCAUAUAUUUAUACCCACUAAUCAUGGUCAAUAUGGUUCCAUUAGUUCUUAAGGAUGUGGGAGAAUUCUUGUUACUAUUAAUAAUGUGAAGUUGAUGCCCGUUCUACGUUUUGUAUUAUGGUGUGUUGUUCUUCCUCUACUAGUGUUAUGUGAAUGUUAACUACUUGACACUUUACUAUCUUUGGAGCUAGGGGGGCAUUGUGGAAUUAUUUUGUGGAUGAUACCUUGCGGGAGUGAUAGAAACCUACACCCUAGUUUGUGAAUGAUCCCAUAAGGGGUUGUUUUGGAUCCAAUUGUUUAGUGUUAUGGUUAGAUUUAUUUUAAUUACUUCGCUUAUAGUUACGAAUUCUUGCGUGGAGAGUAUAAUCAUAAGUAUUUGUUGAUUUUUUCAAGUUCGGACAAUACCUUAGCGAAGGGCCACCCACAUAACACUUCUCAAGGCAUUGAACGUAAUUCUAUGAAUCAUGGUGAAAGUAACUUGGGGAUAUUUGCUUGUAUCCCCAAGAGCGUUUUAGUCACUAUACGAAAUACCAACCACCUGUCCUUAGGACAAUUAAGGAUGGGGCCACUUGGUGCACCUUGCUAUCUUUGUUACUUGUCACCUUGUUAGAGAUUAUCUUAUUAUCAAAUUAUCUAUGAAAACUAUUUGACAACACUUACAAUAAACCUUGUUGAAAACCGCCUAUCAAUUUAUUCUACUCCUACUUGUGGGUGAUCAAGACUCUUCUCUCAAGCCGUUGCCAAGGACUGUAGCGCUCUUGGUAAGUGACAUUCGAUAAGGAAAGUUUUUAUCGUACAUGGUGAUUUUUUUGCACUUGUUAUUAUGGAAAAUAAUCCUUUGAGAGCCUUCUUUGGAGUGCCCUAACCACGUGCACAAUGUUAGGAAACAUAGUAAAAACAAAAAAAUCACCCUACAAUCAACUAGGAAUACUAUGAAGAUACAAUAAUGGGUGGGAUCACGAUCGCUACCGUCACCGAGUUGCAACGAAAGAAGAACAUGAUGAUGUAGAUCAUACUUGGAGUCCCUUGAGCCGUAGAUGAACGAUCGUGCGAACCACCCAUGAAUGAUCCCUCAAACUGAAGACCGAAAGCACGACCUCUCUACUUGGUUUCGAGCGUAGGAUCUUCAUGAUCCGACAAUGCUUCACCGUCCAGAGCUAAUCGUCGUCAUAGAAUGAGAAGGAGGAGAUUAGAACAACACAUGAAUUCUAAUUAUAAGGAUUAGACAAACUAGACCUAGAUCUACUUAGUCAACUAGAACUAGAAAAACUAGAGGAGACUCCAAAACUUGUGUAUAAAUAGGAAAGGAAUCCUCGAGUAUAUAUAGGUUGGAGGGGAGAGUAGGGGCGCCACACAAGGAGGGACAGAGCUCCCCCUGAAUCUGGCCAACUGAGGAAGAGUUGGAUUCCUCCCCCAUUCCAAUUCAGUCCCCCAUAAGGAAGGGAGCCAACUCUACUUGGGUAGUUAUGGCCCAAGUUGCCUUCCAUCUCUUGGCCUUUUAAGGGCCGUUGAUAUUUAAUUAUUUAUAAAAGCCUUCUAAAUAUUUUCAAAACCUUUUAUAUAUAAUUUAGUAUCAUCAGAAACAUUUUCCACCUAUGCAUUAUUUAUCGUAAUAACCGGUAUUACCCGGUACAUUGCGAAACCCUUUUGAUGACCCUGAAAUGCUUCUGGAUCCUCUAGAAACUAUUUCAAAUAUUAAUAAUUUUUUUAACAAAUAUGUUGUCAUUAGUCUCGUAUAAUUAACACUCAAAAGAUCUUGAUAACUUGGGCUUCUGAUCUCUUAGUUUCGGUAACUCCUAGACAUGAAUGAUACUCCUUCGUUCAAUGAAUGGUAGCAGAACUGUGGACGUAAAUAUCGAUCCCUAUGAGUACACAAAUGGUAUUCGAGUGAACCUUUGGUUAUCAUGUGACAUUCCCUUUGCUUAGCAAUAUUGUACUAAACCCGGGAUGCAUCGGUGUCCUCCUCAGUCAUCUGAUGCUCUCUAUACCGUUAUCAUCUUUACCAGGUUUGUUCUUCUUUCUAGUUUUCAUGUUUUGACAUCCCCGUGAAAUAGUCACGUGUGUCUGGACAGACGAUGAUGGAUGUUCUCAUACCGAGAGGGCCCUAGGAAUAUACCUCCAUCAUCUAAGGAGAAAAUCCUCCCCUCGAGCUAUCUAGUCCCUUGUCAAACUUUUCGAGGAACCUGUAAGUUGUCAUUAUAAUCAGCUAGCUACAAAUGACGUUUGAACGACCACAAAGCUCAUCGUAUUGUCAGAAGUGACUACGGUACUCUCAUGGUCAAUGAAAUAUAAAACACAUGUGUAACACUCUAUGUUAUAACAAUUGGUUUUACAUGAUAUUAUCUCAAAGUAUAACAAACAAAUUUUUGGGUCGAUUUAAUAUGGCUGUUCUUCUAACGUCAUAGUCUCAAUGUUGCUUUAGGACUAUCAUUACUGUCGUGGUUUUGUCACGGCAGAUAUCCUUGUGAGACAACUUUUGGUGUGAGGCAAUCACAACUAGGUGGUAGCUUGAACGGGGCUCGUCGGAAUUGAUAGACGCGACUUUUAUCGAGGUUCGGCCCCUCACGGUGGAGGUAAAAGCCUACAUCCUGCUUGAUUGAUAUUUAUGAUGUUGAUGAUCUUGAUUACAAGGGUACUAUUUUGCUACCUCUAGUCUCGAGAUGUUCUAGUAUGAUCUCGUCUAAGACUUGUCUGUCUAUCCCGACUUAACCUUUUUCCCUUCAGGUGCCUAGCCCCUCCUUAUAUAAGUUGAAGGGCUAGCUUACAUGCAGAAUUCUAGUAGGACUACAAAUAGUCUCUUUUGUAUUACAAGUUGAAUCCUAGUCUCGGCCCUGUUUCCCUUGUGAGGGAACCUUUCCUCUUCUUAGACCUUCUUUGUGAGUCGGCCCUCUAGGGCUCUUCACGAGUUAGCCUUCUGCGGGGUUGCACACUGGGCCUUAGUCCUUGUUAUACAGGCCGACCCGGUAAGCGAGGUGACCCAUGAGCCGCCAAGCGAGUCGGGCCCCUCAGACCAGGGGUACCCAGGCCCGUCAGCCUGCGGCCCCGGGUGCGACGCGGCGGGAUAAGCCUGGGUCAUCCCAUCGGCGAUCCCGACAAGUAGAACCCUUGCGAGGGUGUGUGCCUCGCGAGGCGAGGGCUUGAAGAUCGUCGCCCAUGGCCUCGAGAAGGUGUCUGUGGCGAGGUUGUCCCCUCAGGACCCCGCGGAGCAAGCCCGCCGAGGGCGAAUUAGUCAGGUCCCACGACCUAGCUCCUUUACGUGGAUAAGGCACACCGCGCAGGCAGCGUAGGAGUAGUGCCAACGAUUGUGUACACGGGGUUUCCCCUGCCAUUCUAAGUAAGCCGGGACAGCUGGUGUGCCCCAUAAGUGACUCCCAAAGGUUCCGGUUUGGUGCAAAGAGACUAAAGCCCUAGGAUUCGCGGGACGGAUGUCAUCCCCGGUCCUGCUAGCGCGUCAUGAAGAGAAGCUUUUGCACGCGAAGACCACCUUUGUCAGGGCGGACUGUAGUCAUGUCCUCUUUCAAAAAAGGCCAUUUUAGCAACCCUCCCCGCCAAUAUUUUCGGGGGGAAGAGGACCAAGGCCCGUAUAUAGGAGAGGCCCGACCACCGUAGAAGGGGAUCCAACCUCACCCCCAAGCUAUGGCAAGAACCUUCCUUUGUGCCUGUCCACCUCAAGCAAUCCCACCACAAGCAGGACUAGGGUUUUACACCAGAAGGUGGCCCAAACCUGGGAAAACUACCGUGUGUUCGAGUUUAUCUUUCUAGAUCGCGCUACCGUAGGACCGUCGUGAAGCUAAGAGGUUGAACAUGCUUGGAAAGCGAGCGCACCCCAGUGUUCGAACUUUUCAUUGGGUCUGUGGAGCCCCGAUUCUGACAUUUGGCAUGCCAGGUAGGGGGUGCGCAGCCGCUCUUCCACUCCGGUUUUGCUCCAGCUUCACCGACCCCACGACUGAUGCCCGCUGCAUGCGCCCCGGGAGCUCUGCACCAGACGGCAGUUACUGGCCCUCUAGCUUUGCGGCCACCAUCGUCUUCGCCCCUGCAGCUCAUGGGCAGCAGGGCUUCGAGUGGGCACCGGCGCAUCAAGGAUGCCGCCCUGCUACGCCCCCGUGGACUCUGCUUCGGCAUGCAUUCAUUAGGGGACCUGAACGCGCAAAACGCACUGCUCACGAAGAGCGAGCUGCUCCGCCACUACCCGACGGACGGAGGAUACGGCACAUGGACGGACCAUGUCGCUUAACUCGUCGCCAUCGCUAGGAGGGCCUUCGCGUCCUAUGCUCCACUUUGACCCCCACCGUCGAAGGCAGGGGGCUCGACCAGCAGUCUCAGGGGCCCGAGCAGGCCCUGCCUCAUGUCGUGUUCCUUCUCCUUAGGGUCCCAAUGACUGUCCUCGGGCCUCAGCCAGCCCCCAACGGCCAUGCACAUCGUAAGGCCGACGACAAGUUCUGCGCCCUCCACAACACGCACACCCACAACACAGAGGAUUGUGAGGCGGUCAAGAUCCUCAACCGCAAGCACGCUGCUCGGCAUCGAGACCGUGUCGUAUCCACCGACCGUAGAGGAGACGUCGGUGCCCACGCCCGUCGACCCCGUGGCGAUGGGGGAAGCAGCCAUCCCUGAGAGGCUGCACGGCAUGGAUCCCCCCGCGACAGCCGCCACCCGGACGGUGCCGCCGUGCCAUCGUGCCAAUGACCCGUGGGCGAGUGGGGUGUCAGACUAAGCGCUGGUGUCAAGGCCUACGUGCCGCAAGACGUCACCCUCUUUCCCCCGGUGUGAGGGGUAUGUCGGGCGUCACCGUCAAAUCGGGCUUGGGGGCUCCUGCCUAGGGCCGCCAGGCACGGCCAGGGCGAUCGGAAGGCGCCUAGAGGCCCACGAGGAUGCACCUUGAUGCGCGCCCCCACGGGCAAGGAGAGAGGCGACAAGCGUCGGAGUCAUGUGAGUUCGCCGUUCAAGAGCCCAGCAGGCUGCAAGGGAAGCGAGGCGCGUGUGCCUCACGAGGUGCCAUGAUUCCUUGGGCUCGAGAAGCUUUCGUGACUAGCAGCCUCAGGAUCCUGCCGUCGCCCUCCGGCGGGGUAGUUCCCGGUGGCACAUGACUUCAGGCGGAUGGACGCGCCCAUAACGAUCGAGCCGUCGAGUGUAUUUUUGGAUCAACCAGGUUAAAAUGGUCCCUUGAAUUUUGUACUUCUCCGAAUAAGUGUUUCCUAAAUAUGUGACGAACCUGAUUGAUUUUCACUUGGAAUGGUGUUGUUUGCUUUAAGUGCUAAGCUUUAGUGCCGAGCUGCUGUCUCGCGGACGGACUCCACACGACAUGUGGAGCGCGGCUGUCCUCGCGCGAGGGUCAAGGGAGCGAUAAGCCGGUGUACGCGCUUCCUCGUCGAGCGAUAGGAAGCGUUGGAGAAGAAUCUCGUAGGCAAGGACCCCCCAGGGGCUCCCAUGUCUCUAGGCUGUACGCCGCGCACCUGGAUACGGAGGUUGGCGGUCCCAUCAGACUCGCACAUAGCCCCAGUCUAGAUGCCACGUGCCUGAGGAGUGAGGGUGGGGCCCCCAAAAGACAAUGCAAGUCCUCAGGCCCUGCGCCACAUGCCAGGGGACACGAGGAGGGAGCUUGAAGCCAGGCACGUGGAGGCCAACCCGUGACCCUCUCACGUAAUAACAGGGGGCUGUAAACACCCGGGGGGACUCUCGUGCGUAACACCACAACGAUUCGCGUCGUGGCGGCGGUAGGUCCCCCCUCCCACAUCUUACUGCAAGUCCUCACGCUCCGCGCUAGGGAAGAAGCCCAUGACGCUCUCACAUAAUAAUGAGGGGCUGUAAACGCCAAAGGAUCUCUCGUGCGUAACCCCACUAUGAGCCGCGUCAUGGCAGUGGUAGGGGGUCCCUCCCACCUCUUAGUGGAAGUCCGCAUACUGCGCACUAGGGAAGAAGACGAAGCAAACACCCCGGGGUCCCUGUUUCUUUUUAAGUUUACCCAUACUGAAUACGACAACCUCUUUCUUUCUAAGGUUGACCCGUACUGAAUCCGGCAGCUAUUUUCAUUCACCUUUCUUUUCGUCCUGCGAGCGAGCUUGCCAGGCUGAUCCGUGUUGAUGCGGCAACCACACAUCUCCUUUUUAGGCUCGCAAACAAGUUAGCUUUGGAUUUUCUAGGGAAGGUCUUGGUUUUUCUAGUUUUUAUGGAGCUCCCUUGGUUUUUUUCUCUUAUCAUGCCCAUGUGCAAGCGGAUACGCCAUAAUGCAAGCGGGCGGGUCUGCGCCAUCAAGGCUCGGUGUUUUUCUCUCUCCGCAAGACUUCUCGUGAGGGGCCUCACGAGGAGGGUGAUGAGCUGCCCCCGUAGGUGCGAGCACCAGAGAGUCGUGGGCUGGGCCCUGGGGCCACAACGCAUCAAAGCGGCCGCCAGAGGAGACGACGCAAAGGAAGGGGAAUCGGUUUCCUGAAGCACCAUCACCCGGCAGCCCAGGCAGGGCCAUCUCGAGGGUACCAACCUUAUGAGACUCGCUUGAGCAAUCGCAGCCGAGGGAACACGAAGUUGGACAACGCCCAGGGGCUGUCGGUCCGCGUCCCAAGAGCGCGGCGGGGUGAGUCCUUAGGAGAUGUGUGCGAUGGGCUCUCGCUGGUCGAGGCACAGACUACGCGCGGGAAAAGGGGGAAGAACAUUGAAGAAGCAACAAAUAUGCACGAAGCUCAGCACACAACCAUUACUUGGGACAAAGGUAAAUUACAAAAUGUCUAACGCCCUCAUGGGGCCAAGGGUUCUUUGGUGCGGCACAUAAAGGCUGAGGAAGCUCAGGCGGAGGAGGCACCGUCCUUGUCAUGGUCCUCGAUGGCUGCGGUACUGACGUCGCCGCCCCCCUCAAGAGGCACCGCCUCGGUAAACGACCCGACCAAGGGCUCAAUGUGUGUGCGUAGCUCGUCCCCGAGGGGGCAUCAGAGCUCCGCAGGAACUGGUCCCUCGCAUGGGAGAGGUCAAACAUGGGAUUGUGGCGGCGCAGGUUGGAGGAAACGCACGUCAGCGCAUUGCCCAGAAGGUCGCGCGCGCUGGGCUCAGCGUCCUCCUCGACCUUGGAAGCACCCGACUCCAGCGCCUCCACCACCACGAGGAGAAAGUCAGGGUGGCCCCCAUCGCCAUAGGCUUGCGGCAGCAUGGGGACGUCCCUGAUGAAGCGGUGAAGUGUGGCGCCUGCACGCAGGGCCAACUCCCGUGACCGUUAGGCGCGCCACUCCUCCAUGUGGCACGCAUGCGCCGCCGUGCACCGAACGUGCACCGCGUUGUCCAUGGCGGCGUCAGCAUCGUGAGCGACUUCAUCGACCUGGGCCAGGAGCAACUUCACCUCCUCCUUGGCCUCUCCCUCUCUUAUGGAGGCGGCAUCCAGAGGAGCUUGGGCACCUUGCGGGUGGGCCUGAGUGCGUUUUCUUCCUCUUGGAGCGCAUCGUACUUAAGCUCGAGGAAGGCCUCCCGCUUGGAAAGCUUGCCGUGGUACUCCUUCGGGGCUAUCUCUCACUCGUGAGCCACCCUCGCGUUUGCACCGGCCAAGGCCUCAUCGCGCGCCGCCACGAGGGCGACCUCGCCGGCAAGGAUGCGCCUCUCCAUGGCCUCGAGGCAUUCAUGCUCCGCCUCCUGGUUGUGGGUGAUCUGGGUGGCCACCCACCCGCAAUGGGGCACGAUUGCCUCCCACUUGUGUUGGGGAACGUCACAUGGGAAACAAAAACAUUCCUACGCUCACCAAGAUCAAUCUAUGGAUCCUAACAUCUAUGAGAGGGGGUGCAUCUAUAUACCCUUGUAUAUUGCUAAGCGGAAGCGUACAUAUAAUGUGAUUGAUGUAGUCGUACGUCUUCAUGAUCCAAUUGCAAUCCGUCCCGAUCUAGUGCCGAACGGACGACACCUCCCUGUUGAGCACAUGUACGGCUCGAUGACGUCUCCUCCUUCUUGAUAGAGCAAGAGAGGAAGGAGAAGUAGAUGGGAUGUCAAGCAGCACAACAACAUGGUGGAGAUGAUGGUGGGGUGAUGUCCCACAAGCGUAUGGGAUCGCAUCAGUUUUCGAGGGUAGAGUAUUCAUCCCAAAUUUAUUGAUUCGCCAAGACGGGAGGCGAAAGAAUAUUCUCAAGUAUUAGCAGCUGAAUGUGUCACAUUCAACCACACCUGCAAGAUUAGUGUCUGCAAGCAAAGCAUGAGUAGCAAGGUAGUAUGAUAGCAAUGGUGCUAGAAACAAUCUGUUGACACGGCAGACUAUUCCUAACUGUUGUAUCAAUGGCGCCAGCACGUUGACGGGGGAUUAUUCUUGAGAAGAAUACUUCCCCGGCUACGGCUUCAACAAAGUAUUGCAACAAGUAACAGCGGAGUAGUAAGGAACAGCAGUAGCAUGAGCAGCAAAGUAACAAGUAACAACAGUAGUGACAGCAGCAGCAAAGUGACCCAAUCCCUUUUGUAGCAAGGGACUAGCCUAGGCAAAGUAACGUAACGAGAACCAGUAGUAAAAGACUCGUAGGAAGUGGAUCGGUGAUGGAUGAGUAUGAUGGAUGUGAUUCAUCAUGUAACAGCUAUAACACGGAGAGAUAUGUAACUAGCUCCCGUUCGUCAAUCUAAUGUAGGCAUGUAUUCUGUAUGUUGUCAUACGUGCUUAGGGAAAAGAACUUGCAUGACAUCUAUUGUCCAUCCCUCCCGUGGCAGUGGGGUCCUAAUGGAAACUACAGGAUAUUAAGGUUCUCCUUUUAAUAAAGAACCGGACCAAUGCAUUAACACGCGGUGAAUACAUGAAAUCCUCAUACUAUGGUCAUCUCCAGGAGUGGUUCCGGCUAUUGUCACUCCGGGGUUGCCGGGUCAUAACACAUAGUAGGUGACUACAACUUGCAAGAUAGGAUCUAAAACACACAUAUAUUGGCGACAACAUAAUAGGUUCAGAUCUGAAAUCAUGGCACUCGGGCCCUAGUGACAAGCAUUAAGCAUAGCCAAGUAGUAGCAACAUCGAUCUAGAACAUAGUGGAUACUAGGGAUCAAUCCCCGUCAAGAACUAACUCGAUUACAUGAUAGAUCUCAUCCAACUCAUCACCGUUCAGCAAGCCUACGAUGAGAUUACUCAUGAACGAUGAAGAGCAUCAUGGAAUUGUCGAUGGAGGAAGGUUGAUGAUGACGAUUUCCCCUCUCCGGAGCCGAAAACGGACUCCAGAUCUGCCCUCCAGAUCAAGAAUAGGAUGUGUCGUCGCCUCCGUAUCGCAAAACGCGAUGAAACCUUCUCUCUGAUUUUUUUCCAGGCAAAACGGAAGAUAUAGAGCUGAGAUUGGGGGCGGUGGUGCCACGUGGGCCCCACAAGCCUGCAUGGCGCGGCCAUAGGGGGUGGCCGCGACCAGUGGGCUUGUGGCCCGCCGGCACGCCCCCUUCGGUGGAUCUUUGCGCGUGUAUUUUUCUUUUAUUCCAGAAAAAAUCUCCGUAAAUUUUCAGGACGUUCCGAGAACUUCUAUUUCUGCAAAAACAACACCAUGGCAAUUCUGCUGAAAACAACGUCAGUUCGGGUUAGUUCCAUUCAAAUCAUGCAAAUUAGAGUCCAAAACAAGGGCAAAAAAGUUCGGAAAAUUAGAUACGACGGAGACGUAUCAACUCCCCCAAGCUUAAAGCCUUGCUUGUCCUCAAGCAACUCAGUUGACAAACUGAGAGAGACAAAAGAAAAACUUUGACGAACUUUGUUUGAUCUUGUUGUUGCAACUAUGUCUAACUCACAACCGGAAUUUCAGCAAGAUCACAAUCAAACCACAUAAGCAAAUGACAUCUAGGUCUCACGGUAAACUCAUAUCAAUGUCCUAAUCAACUAGCGAGCAAAUAAUAAUAAGCCUCAAGUGUCAACACUUCAAUCAAAACAACUUGAAGCAGUACAAAUAGAUGGUAUCUCGCUAGCUCUUUCUGUGACCGCAAAACAUAAAUGCAGAGCACCUUAAAAGACCAAGGGAUGACUAAACUUGUAAUUCAAGGCAAUGAAGAUCCAGUCAUAGUCAUACUCAACACAGUUAAAAGCAAAGCAUAAAAAUGACAGAGGUGCUCUCCAAUUGGUGCUUUUGUAAGAGGAGGAUGACUCAACAGGAACAUAAAUAGACAGACCCUUCGCAGAGGGAAGCAUUGAUUUGCAGAGGUUCCAGAGCUCAAGCUUUGAAAACAGAGAUAAUAAUUUUGGGCGGCAUGCUUUCAUUGUCAAUGCAAUGACUAAGAGUUCUCAACAUCUUCCACGCUACACAUGCUAUAGGCGGUUCCCAAACAGAAAAGUUAAGUUUUGACUCCCCCACCACCAAUCAAUCACACUCCAUGGCUAGCCGAAUCCUCGGGUACCGUCAAAACCAACAUCAAUCCUGGGGGAGUUUUGUUUGCAAUUAUCUUUUCGAUUUGAGCAUGGAACUCGGAAUUCCAAUUACCGGCCCCUUUCUCGUGAAUGAUAGUGAAUAACCACAUAUUGAGGAUAACACGCCUAGGAUGGAAGAUACCAAUAGCCCCCUGUCACCACAUGAGCGGUUCGGGCAUGCAAAACAGAUUAUUUCUUGAAGAUUUAGAGAGUGGCACAUGCAAAUUUACUUGGAGCGACAGGUAGAUACCGCACAUAGGUAGGUAUGGUGGACUCAUAUGGAAAAACUUUGGGUUUAUGUAAGUGGAUGCAGAAGCAGUAUUCCCGCUUAGUACAAGUGAAGGCUAGCAAAAGACUAGGAAGCGACCAACUAGAGAGCGACAACAGUCAUCAAAAUGCAUUGAGAUUAACUAGCAUUGAGUGCAAGCAUGAGUAUUUCAUAAAUCACCGUGAACAUGAACAUCAUAGAGGCUAUGUUGAUUUUGUUUCAACUACAUGCGUGAACAUGCGCCAAGUCAAGCCACUUGAAACAUUCAAAGGAGGAUACCAUCCUAUCAUACUACAUCAUAGUCAUCUCAACAUUCAUGUGGGCAUCCAAGACAAACCAUUAUAAGCUCCUAGCUAAAUAAACAUGGCAUAAGCAACUAUGAUCUCUAGGUUGUCAUUGCAAACAUGUUUCUCUCACAACAAAGCUGAAUUAGGCAUGCUGAGCUAGUCAUAUUUAGAAAAACAAAAUAGAUCGAGUUCAUACCAGCUUUUCCAGGCUCAGUCACUUCAUCAUAUAUCAUCAUUAUUGCCUUUCACUUGCACGACCGAACGUUGUGAACAAUAAUAAGAGUGCUCGUGCAUUGGACUAAACCUGGAAUCUGCAGGCAAACACAAAGGAGAAGACAAAGUAAUAUGGCACUUUGAAAGCUAAACAGGUAUGCAUGCAAGAGCCACUAAACAUUGUAACCAUAGUCUUCUACCUUGACCCAAAGAAAAGGAAAACUAUCUACACGGGAAAGCCCCCAACAAGCAAAAGAAGAAAAAGAUUUUUUUUUGUUUUUUCUCAAACUAGACAGACACAUGAAAAGAAAACGAGAAAAAGAAAAUAAACCAACAUGGAUGAUACAGUGGCAAAGUGUGAACACCGACGAACAAAGUGAAAGCAUAAGCAAGAAUGUAAAGUCGGUGAGAACACGUACUCCCCCAAGCUUAGGCUUUCGGCCUAACUUGGUCUACUCCCAAGGAGGGAAAUAACCAGCUCCGAGGUACUCCUGAGUGGACUGAGGAUGCCACUGCUGUGUGAGCUCCUCCGGCUCCCACUGAUAAAUUGGCGUCUGGUACUCGACUGGCGGCUCGGGCACGGGUACCUGUGGUUGUGCCAAGCCCCAAUAUGUGUAGAUGUCCGAGGGCAUAAUAGUGUACCUGCCUGCAUGAAGAUUGAACAAAGAAGGAGCAGGCAAAGUAAUAGUCUCACGAGUACCCUGACUAAAUAUCAGGUUAUAAAUCAUCCUUCCACCUAUAUCUCUAUCAAGAAAGUCAUGUCGAACCAUGCUAUCAUAAUCUAGAUAUCUCUCGGGAAGAAGAAUCUCUUCUUCUUCCUCAAGUCUAAUGGGUAUCUCAAAGUGUCUGGCAAGACGGGUAGCAUAGAUACCUCCAUAGACAACACCUUUAGAACGAUUAAGGUUUAACCGUUGAGCUACUAUAGUGCCCAGGCUAUAAGUUUUAUCGUUAUAAAGGGCUUCGCGCAAUACGGAAAGAUCUGGGGAACUAAGUGACCCAGCUUUCCCACGACCAAUCAAACAUUUUCCCACAAAUAGUGAGAAGUACCGAAGCACGGGAAAAUGAAUGCUAGCUGCUCUAGCGCAAGACACUACUCUCUCCUCUCCUACAACAAUUGUACCGAUAAAAGCUUCCAAGUCCCGUGGACGAGGUUCAUGAAUAUCCCCAACAUAAGGUAAUUUGCAAACAUUGCAAAAAUCCUGGAGUGACAUGCGCUGGGGGACAUCAUAAAGUUAAACUCAUCCAUAGGAGGAUUCUUCCUCGGAUAGACGUUAAAGUUUUGUACGAAGAUAUUAGUGAGGAGGAGGUAUUGCGAACACUUAUCUUCAACGAAGGCGGUAAGGCCUACGUUCUCCACCAAGUGAUAAAAGUCCUCAUAAAUUCCAGCGGCGCGUAAGAACACGUCGGUUGGCCACUCGCACGCUCGAACUUCUGCGACUCGAGGGACCGGAUACUUGGGCUUCUUCUCACUUCCAUCAUCCUUCGGGUCACGGCUUGACGAGGCUCUUAAGAACCUCCUCAUCUUUUCCCUUUCUUAUCUCUCAAAAUUUCUGAAAUUUUUAGUGAUUCUAAGGAAAAGUGAAUAAGGCUCAACGAAUCUCGUAGCAACUACUCCCACAAGUGCCUAGAGACCAUAUUACACACCAAAACUACUUGGGACCAGCUAGAAUCAGCAUGCAAAGCUCAAGAACAUGGUCACCAAGGCAGCAAAAAUACGUGGAGUAUAAGGCACUAGAGCAAAAACUAGUUGGACCAAUGGAGGAGUCACUUACCAAGGAGUAAUUUCCCCAAAACAGUUCGGAGAACGGUGAUUUGAGCAAAGAGAUCGAAUAUCCCAGCAAGAGGAGCAAGAACACGGGUUUGAGCUACGAAACGAUUUUUUCUGGAGGUAGGAGAAGCGGAUGAGAUCAAGAAUGAGUGGAGGGGGUGCCUGUGGGCCCCACAAGCCUGGGUGGCGCGGCCAGGGGGGUGCCCGCGCCCCUAGGGCUUGUGGCCCACUGGUGUGGCCCCCAGACAGACUCUUUGUCCUAGUAUUUCUCAAAUAUUUCAAAAAAAAGCAUACUAGAUUUUCACGGCGUUCGGAGAACUUUUAUUUUCGGGGUACUUUUCUACCGGACGCUAAAACAGAAAACAGGAAAAACUAAACUAAAUCUAUCAUUUUUCUUCUAAGCAACCUAAAGUGAAAGCUUGGAACAGAGGUUUGUGACUCCUCGAUUCAUCCAUCUCAUGGUCAUCGAAAGAAAUUUGUCAGUGUGGUAGAUCAAGUCUCCUCGACGAACCUUUUCGAAUCGCAAAAGAGAACGGAGAAUUUCCGAAUAGUCACUAGGUUACCUCAAUGGGGAUAUGUAUUUCCCCAACAAGCAAAUCAUACUUCAUCUUGACACGAGGAAUAGGGCAUUCAAAGCUCCCAAUAAGAAUCGAUGAAGUUUUUUCGAUAGCAUUGAUGCAAUGUACUCGAUAUUGUUUCUUCGGAAAGUGCACCGUAUGCUCAUUACCGUUGACAUGGAAAGUGACAUUGCCUUUGUUGCAAUCUAUAAUAGCUCCUAUAGUGUUUAAAAAGGGUCUUCCGAGGAUGAGCGCCAUGGCAUCAUCCUCGGGAAUAUCCAAGAUAACAAAGUCUGUUAAGAUAGUGGUAUUAGCAACCAUAAUAGGCACAUCCUCGGAAAUGCCGAUAGGGAAAGCAGUUGAUUUGUCGGCCAUUUGCAGAGAGAUUUCAGUGGGUGUCAACUUAUCCAGUUCAAGUCUACGAUAAAGAGAGAGAUGCAUAACACUAACACCGGCUCCAAGGUCGCACAACUCAGUUCUAACGUAGUUGCCUUUAAUGGAGCAAGGUAUAGUGGGCACACCGGGAUCACCUAGUUUCUUAGGAGUUCCACCCUUGAAAGUGUAAUUGGCAAGCAUGGCGGAGAUCUCAAGAUCAGGUAUCCUCCUCUUAUUAGUCACAAUAUCUUUCAUGUACUUAGAAUACGGAGACAUCUUGAGCAUAUCCGUCAAACGCAUUUGCAGAAAGAUAGGUUUGAUCAUCUCAACGAAGCGCUCAAAAUCCUCAUCAUCCUUUUCCUUGGAUGGUUUGGGAGGAAAAAGCAUAGGUUUCUGAACCCAUGGCUCCCUUUAUUUACCAUGCUUCCUAGCAGCGAAGUCAUUCUUAUCGUAUCUCUUAUUCUUAGGCUGUGGGUUAUCAAGAUCAACACUAGGUUCAAUCUCCACAUCCUUUUCAUUGCUAGGCUGAGCAUCUUCAUGAACAUCAGUGUUGAUAUUAUUAUUAGGCUCAUGUUCAUCACCAGAUUGUGUUUCAGCAUCAGAGACAGAGGCAUCGUUUGGCCUCUCAGGGGUAGCAGCAACAGGGUUGCUAGCGUGCAGGUUCCUAUCAUAUUUCUUCUUCUUUCUAGGAUGACUAGGUGCAUCAGUGCUAACUCCUUGAGAAUCUUGUUCAACUCUCUUCGGAUGACCCUCAGGAUAUAGAGGUUCCUGGGUCAUUCUACCGCCUCUAGUGACGACUCUGAUAGAAUUGUCAUUCAACUCGUUGAGCAAGUCAUUUUGAGCUUUAAGUACUUGUUCUACCUGAGUAGUAACCAUAGAGGCAUGUUUACUCAGAAGCUUAAGAUCAUUGACAUUUCUGUCCACACAAGCACUUAAAUGACUAAGCAUACGAGCAUUCUUUUCCAAUUGUCUGCUAACAUAAUCAUUGAAACUCUGUUGUUUGGCAACGAAGUUAUCAAAUUCAUCCAUGCAUAAGCUAGCAGGUUUAUCAAAAGGAACAUCACUCUCAUCAAACCAACGAAGAGAAUUUACUUCUACUACCGGUAUCAGGUUAUCGAGACGAUGGAUCUCUUCGAUAGGUGGUAGAUUUUUGACAUCUUCAGAUAUAAUGCCUUUCUCUCGCAUAGAUUUCUUGGCUUCUUGCAUAUCUUCAGGACUGAGGAAUAGAAUACCUCUUUUGUUCGGAGUUAGCUUAGGAGGUGGUUCAGGAAUAGUCCAAGCAUUCUCAUUGCACAAGAUGUUAUUCAGUAGAAUAUUAGCUUGUUCUACGGUUCGUUCCCUAAAAACACUACCGACACAACUAUCUAGAUGGUCUUUGGAAGCAUCGGUAAGUCCAUUAUAGAAGAUAUCAAGUAUCUCAUUCUUCUCAAGAGGGUGAUCAGGCAAAGCAUUCACUAGCCGGAUAAGCCUCCCCCAAGCUUGUGGGAGACUCUCUUCUUCAUCUUGAGCAAAGUUGUAUAUUUCCUGCAAGGCAGCUUGCUUCUUAUGGGCAGGGAAAUAUUUUUCAGAGAAGUAGUAGACCAUAUCUCGGGGGCUACGCACACAUCCAGGAGCAAGAGAAGUGAACCAGGUCUUAGCAUCAUCCUUUAGCGAGAAAGGAAACAACUUGAGCAUAUAGUAGUGGCGGAUCUCUUCCUCACUAGUGAAUAGGGUAGCUAUAUCGUGUAGUUUGGUAAGAUGGGCUACAACCGUUUCAGAGUCAUAACGAUGAAAAGGAUCAUAUUCGACCAGAGUGAUUAACUCAGGGUCGAUAGAGAAUUCAUAAUCCUUAACGGUCACGAAGAUAGGCGAAGUUGCAAACUUCGGGUCAUAUUUCAUCCUAGCGUUAAGAGAUGUUUCUUUCCACUUGCGUUGAAGUUUCUCAACUGCAUAGCUAUCCUUACAUGCAAGAAAGUCCUCAGCUAUCUCUACCUCCAUAACAUAGCGCGUAUCAGGCAUAACAGGCAAUUCAGGCAUAGUAGGAGGUUCUACUUCAAUAGUAUCAGCAGUUUCAGAAGCAUCAUCACAUCUAGCAGCAAGUCUAGCAAUAUGUGCAUCAAGGAAUGCACCAACUGGCAAAGCAGUAUCAAGCAUAGCAGGCAUAGUAUCAAUCAUAGCAUCAUCAGGCAUAGUAUCAAGCAUAGCAUCAUCAGGCAUAGUAUUAAGCAUAGCAUCAUCAGGCAUAGUAUCAAGCAUAGCAUCAUAAGCAUCAUGGGCAGCAGAAGUAGCAUCAUCAAGCACAUGCGACAUAUCAAGAUUUCUAGCAGGAGGCGAAGUCGCAAACUUACUCAGAACUGAAGGGGAAUCAAGUGAGAGCUUGAUGGCAGUUCCUUACCUCUCCUCAUAGUGGAAGGUAGGAUUUUAGUUCUUGGAUCUUUCGGAUUCCUCAUAGUCAUCAGCAGAUGUCAAUCCCAAGUGACUCAGAGAAUAUAGCUGUGCCUCCCCGGCAACGGCGCCAGAAAAAGUCUUUAUGUCCCACAAGCGUAUGGGAUCGCAACAGUUUUUGAGGGUAGAGUAUUCAACCCAAAUUUAUUGAUUCGCCAAGACGGGAGGCGAAAGAAUAUUCUCAAGUAUUAGCAGCUGAAUGUGUCAGAUUCAACCACACGUGAAAGAUUAGUGUCUGCAAGCAAAGUAUCAGUAGCAAGGUAGUAUGAUAGCAACGGUGCCAGAAACAAUCUGUUGACACGGCAGACUAUUCCUAACUGUUGUAUCAAUGGCGCCAGCACGUUGACGGGGGAUUAUUCUUGAGAAUAAUACUUCCUCGGCUACGACUUCAACAAAGUCUUGCAACAAGUAAUAGCGGACUGCUGACGUGCAACUAUUCCUGACUUGAUACCUCCACGGCAACAGAGCUAGAAAAGAGCUCGUCCGAAUUGCUCAACAAUUAAAUUGUCUUGCAAUCGCCCACCAGUGCGUGGGAUCGCAACAGUUUUCGAGGGUAGAGUAUUCAACUCAAAUUUGUUGGUUCGCACGACGGGAAGUGAAAGAAUAUUCUCAAGUAUUAGCAGCUGAAUGCGUCAAAUUCAACCACACCUGAAAGAUUAGUAUCUGCAAGCAAAGUAGUAUGAUAGCAACGGUGCCAGAAACGAUCUGUUGACGGCAGACUAUUCCUAACUGUUGUAUCAAUGGCGCCAGUAAGUUGCCCGUGGACGGGAAAUAUUCUUUCCCGUCAACGGCUCUAGAAAAAGUAUUGUAGCGGGUAGCAGCAGUGUAACGAGUAACAACAGUGGCAAGGAACAGCAGUAGUGACAGCAGUAGCAAGUAGCAGCAGUAGCAAGUAACAACAGUAGCAAGUAACAGUAGCAGCAACAGUAGUAACAGCAGCAGAGCAAAGCAAGUAACAGCAGGAGAGCAAAACAAGUAAAAACAGCAGUGGGACAAACUCGUAGGAAAUGGGUCGGUGAUUUGUCGAAUGAUAUUCAUCAUGCAACAGUUAUAACACAAAGAGAUAUGUGGCUAGCUCCCAUUCAUCAAUGUGAUGUAGGCAUGCAUUCCGUGUGUCGUCAUACGUGCUUAGGGAAAAGAACUUGCAUGACAUCUAUUGUCCAUCCUUCCCGUGGCAGCAGGGUCCAAAAGGAUACUACGGGAUAUUAAGGUUCUCCUUUUAAUAAAGAACUGGACCAACGCAUUAGCACUUGGUGAACACAUGAACUCCUCAAACUAUGGCCAUCACCGGGAGUGGUUCCGGGUAUUGUCAGUCCGGGGUUGCCGGGUCAUAACACAUAGUAGGUAACUACAACUUGCAAGAUCGGAUCUAAAACACACAUAUAUUGGUGACCACAUAAUAAUUUCAGAUCUGAAAUCAUGGCACUCGGGCCCUAGUGACAACCAUUAAGCAUGGCAAAGUAGUAGCAACAUCAAUCUCAAAACAUAGUGAAUACUAGGGCUGAAUCCCCGUCAAUAGUAACUGGAUUACAUGAUAGAUCUCAUCCUACUCAUCACCGCCCAGCGAGCCUAUGAAUAGAUUACUCACGAACGAUGAAGAGCUUCAUGGAAUUGGAGAGGGAAGAAGGUUGAUGAUGACGAUGGCGAUGAUUUCCCCUCUCUGGAGCCCAAAACGGACUCCAGAUCUGUCCUCGAGAUGAAGAACAGGAUGUGGCGGCGCCUCCGUAUCGCAAACGCGAUGAAAUCUUCUCUUCUGAUUUUUUUUGGGACGAAAGGGAAUUUAUAGAGCUGAGUUUGGGGGCGGCAGAGCCACGUGGGCCCCACAAGCUUGGUUGCCGCAGCCAGGGGGGUUGCCGCGGCAACAGGGCUUGUGGCCCACUAGCCCAUCCCCUCCGGUGGAUCUUUGCACAGGUAUUUUUCAUAUUUUUCAAAAAUAUUCUUCGUAAAUUUUCAGGACGUUCCAGAACUUUCAUUUCUGCACAAAAACAGCACCAUGGCAAUUCUGCUGAAAACAGCGUUAGUCCGGGUUAGUUUGAUUCAAAUCAUGCAAAUUAGAGUCCAAAACAAGGGCAAAAGAGUUUGGAAAAGUAGAUACGAUGGAGACGUAUCAACUCCCCCAAGCUCAAAACCUUGCUUGUCCUCAAGCCACUCAGUUGACAAACUGAAAGAGAGAGAAAAACUUUGACAAACUCUGUUUGAUGUCGUUGUUGCAACUAUGUCUACCUCAUAACCUGAAUUUCAGCAAGCUCACAAGUUAACCACAUAAGCAAGGGACACAUAGGUCUCACGGUAAACUAAUAUCAAUGGCAUAAUCACCUAGCGAGCAAAUAAUAAUGAGUUUCAGAUACCAACAAUUCAAUCAAAACAAGCAUGAAGCAAUAUGAAUAGGUGGUAUCUCGCUAGCUCUCUCUGAGACCGCAAAACAUAAAUGCAGAGCACUUUCAAAGAUCAAGGGCACACUAAACAUUGUAAUUCAUAGCAAUGAAGAUCCAGUCAUAGUCAUACUCAAUGUCAAGCAAAAGCAAAGCAUAAAAAUGACAGAGGUGCUCUCUAAUUGGUGCUUAUAUAAGAAGAGGAUGACUCAAUAGGAAAAUAAAUAGACAAGCCCUACGCAGAGGGAAGCAUUGAUUUGCAGAGGUGCCAGAGCUCAAGCUUUGAAAACAGAGAAAAUAAUUUUGGGUGGCAUGCUUUCAUUGUCAACACAAUGACCAAGAGUUCUCAAUAUCUUCCAUGCUACUCAUGCUAUAGGCUGUUCCCAAACAGAAAAGUAAAGUUUUAACUCCCCCACCACCAAUCAAUCUCCACGGCUAGCCGAAUCCUCGGGUACUGUCCAUACUAACAUCAAUCCAGGGGGAGUCUUGUUUUAUAGUUAUGUUUUCGAUUUCAGUGUGGAACUAGGCAUUCCAAUUACCGGCCCCUUUCUCGUGAAUGACAGUGAAUAAAGACAUGUCGAGGAUAACACGCCUAACAUGGAAGAUACCAAUAGCCCCCUGUCACCACAUGAGCGGUUCAGGCAUGCAAAACAGAUUACUUGUUGAAGGUUUAGAGAAUGGCACAUGCAAAUUUACUUGGAACGACAGGUAGAUACCGCAAAUAGGUAGGUAUGGUGGACUCUCAUGGAAAAACUUUUGGGUUUAUGGAAGUGGAUGCACAAGCAAUAUUCCGCUUAGUACAAGUGGAGGCUAGCAAAAGACUGGGAAGCGACCAACUAGAGAGCAACAAAAAUCAUCAAGAUGCAAUGAGUUCUACUAACAUGGAGUGCAAGCAUGAACAUGAUAUAAAUCACCAUGAAUACGAACAUCAUAGAGGCUAUGUUGAUGUUAUUUCAACUACAUGCAUGAACAUGCGCCAAGUCAAGCCACUUGAAUCAUUCAAAGGAGAAUAGCAUCCUAUCAUACUACAUCAUAGUCAUCUCAAAAUCUAUGUUGGCAUUCAAGACAAACCAUUAUAAGCUCCUAGCUAAUUAAGCAUGGCAUCAGAAACUAUGAUCUCUAAGUUGUCAUUGCAAACAUGGUUCUCUCUCAACAAAGUUGAAUCUGGAAUGACAAGCUAGUCAUGUUCACAAAAACAAAAUAGAUAGAGUUCAUACCAGCUUUUCAGUCUCAGUCACUUCAUCAUAUAUCAUCAUUAUUGCCUUUCACUUGCACGAUCGAAUGAUGUGAACAAUAAUAAGAGUGCUCGUGUAUUGGACUAAGCUGAAUCUGCAGGCAAACACAAAGGAGAAGACAAAGUAAUAUGGCUCUUUGAAAGCUAAACAAGUAUGCAUGCAAGAGCCACUAAACAUUGUAACCUAUAUCUUCUACCUUGACCCAAAGAAAAAGAAAACUAUUUACACGGGAAAGCUCCCAACAAGCAAAAGAAGAAAGGAAAAUCUUUUUGGGUUUUCUCAAAAGGACACAAAACAAGAAAACAAGAAAACGGAAAUAAACUAGCAUGGAUAAUACAGUGGCAAAGUGUAAACACCGGCUAACAAAGUGAAAGCAUAAGCAUGAAUGUAAAGUCGGUGAGAACAUGUACUCCCCCAAGCUUAGGCUUUUGGCCUAGCUUGGUCUACUCCCAAGGAUGGUCCUGGCGAAACCCAAAAUCAUAAUCGGGGUUAUACGGGAGCACUGCAGCCACUGCCUGAAUAACUGCCUCACGAAGACGAGCAGCCGUCGCCUCCCUCUCAUACUCCGCUACCUCUCCAAUGGUUAUGUAGUAUCUCCAUUUUACCUGAAAGUCAAAGAAAGUAGGAGCAGGAAGGGUAAUAUGGAAAACACGCUGCCGGUUAAAUAUCAAUCGGUAUAGGAGGGAUUCAUCAUCCCUCUCAAGGAACUGGUAGCAUGUCAUAGCGACGCGGUCAAGGAAAGCUGUAUGGAGCGGGGGAUCUCCUGCUCGGAUGGGUACUCCAAGAAAAUUUUCUAUGCGAGUGGCAUAGAUGCCGCCAAAGAAAUCCCCAUCAAUAGCAUUCUUAUUCAACCUCCUUGCUAUAAUAGCUCCCAUGUUGAAGAUUUUGUCACCCGUCACUGCGCUCUUAAGGAUACUCAGGUCGGAUGCGCAUAGGUGACAAUGUUCAACCUUGCCGUUAAUGCAUCUACCUAUGAAGAGGGCAAAGUAGUGCAAGGCAGGGAAAUGAAUGCUUCUAUGGCAGCUUGCGUGAUGUCUCUAGUUUCUCCAACAGUUAUACUAGAGAAAAAAAUCUCUAACCGAAGAUUUAGCAGGAUCUUUAAGAUUACCGCCAUCGGGUAUUUUGCAAAUCCUAUUGAAAUCCUCCAAAUCCAUGGUGUAGGAUUUAUCAUACAGAUCAAACAGUAUGGAUGAGUCACGGCCAACUGAAAUUUAAAUCUACGUACGAACGAGGCAGUGAGCAAAGCAUACUGUUCACAUUUAUCUAAGAGGAAUUCUUCUAACCUGGCAUUGCGGACAAGUGUAUCAAACUCAUCCUUGAAGCCUUCUUCGAUCAUAAACUCAUCGGAAGGCCAUUCACAUGGUUGCACCGGUGCGUCCCUUAGUUGAUAAGGAUCGGGCUCCCGAAUAGAAAGAGGGGGACCCUUCUUACUUGAGGAACCACCAUGAAACUUCCUCCUGAAUAUAAUUUCUUUUUGCUGAAAUUUUUGAAGUUCAAGAGAAAAGUGAAUAAAGACCAACCAUACCUUGUAGCAACUACUCCUAGUAGUGCCUAGAGACCGUAUCACGCACUAAAACUACUUGGGACCAGCUAAAAUCAACGUUUCAAGCUCAAGAUCAGGGUCACCAAGGUAGCAAGAAUACACGAAGGAUAAAGCACUAGAGCAAAAACUAAAUGGACUAAUGGAGGAGUCACUUACCAAGGAGUAAUUUCCCCAAAACGGUUUGGAGAAUGGUGCUUUGAGCAAGGAGAUCGAAAAUCACAGCCAAAUGAGCAAGAACCCGGGUUUGAGCUGCGAAACGAUUUUUUUUGGAGGAAGAAGAAGAGAAUGGGGGCUGGAAUGAGUGGAGGGGGUCCCUGUGGGCCCCAAAACCUUGCUUGCCGCGGCCAGGGGGGUAGGCCGCGGUGACAGGGCUUGUGGCCCACUGGUGUGGCCCCCAGGCCAGCUCUCAGUCCUAGUAUUUUCCAAAUAUUUCAGAAAAAAUCAUACUAGAUUUUCACGACCAUCGGAGAAUUUUUAUUUUCGGGGUAUUUUUCGACCGGACGCUAAAACAGAAAACAGGGAAAACUAAACUAAAUCUAUCAUUUUUCUUCCAAGCAACAGAAAGUGAAAGCUUAAAACAGAGGUAUGUGACUCUUUGAUUCAUCCAUUUCAUGGUCAUCGAAAGAAAUUCGUCAAUGGGGUUGAUCAAAUCCUCAUGACAAAACUUUCUCGAAUCGCAAAAGAGAACAGAGAAUUUCCGAAUAGCCACUAAGUCACCUCAAUGGGGAUAUGUAUCUCCCCAACAAGCAAAUCAUACUUCAUCUUGACACGAGGAAUAGGGCAUUCAAAGCUCCCAAUAAGAAUCGAUGAAGUUUUUUCGAUAGCAUUGAUGCAAUGUACUUGAUACCGUUUCUUCGGAAAGUGCACUGUAUGCUCAUUACCGUUGACAUGGAAAGUGACAUUGCCUUUGUUGCAAUCUAUAACUGCCCCUGCAUUGUUUAAAAAGGGUCCUCCGAGGAUGACAGCCAUGGCAUCGUCCUCGGGAAUAUCUAAGAUAACAAAGUCUGCUAAGAUAGUGGUGUUAGCAACCACAACAGGAACAUCCUCGCAAAUGCCGACAAGGAAAGCAAUUGAUUUGUCAGCCAUUUGCAGAGAGAUUUUAGUGGGUGUCAACUUAUCCAGUUCAAGUCUACGAUAAAGAGAGAGCGGCAUAACACUAACACCGGCUCCAAGGUCACAUAAGGCAGUUCUUACGUAGUUUCCUUUAAUGGAGCAAGGUAUAGUGGGCACUCCGGGAUCACCAAGUUUCUUAGGAGUUCCACCUUUGAAAGUGUAAUUGGCAAGCAUGGUGGAGAUCUCAAGAUCUGGUAUCUUCCGUUUAUUAGUCACGAUAUCUUUCAUGUACUUGGCAUAUGGAGACAUUUUGAGCAUAUCAAUUAACCGCAUCUGUAGAAAGACGGGUCUUAUCAUUUCAAUAAAGCGCUCAAAAUCCUCAUCAUCCUUUUUCUUGGAUGGCUUAGGAGGAAAGGGCAUAGGUCUCUGAACCCAUGGCUCCCUUUCUUUGCCAUGCUUCCUAGCAGUGAAAUCAUUCUUAUCGUAUCUCUUAGGUUGUGGGUUAUCAGGAUUAACCGUUGGUUCAAUCUCCACAUCCUUAUCAUUGCUAGGUUGAGCAUCAUUAUGAACAUCGCUGUCCAUAUUGUCACCAGUUUCAUGUUCAUCACCAGAUUGUGUUUCUGCAUCAAACGCAGAAAUAUCAUUUGGUUCUUCAGGUGUGACAGUAUUUGGUGAACUGACAAGUAGGUUUCUAACAUCCUUCUUCUUCUCCGUAGGAUGACUGGGUGUAUCAGCAUUAAUUCCUUGAGAAUCCUAAUCAAUUCUCUUAGGAUGGUCUUCAGGAUACAAAGGUUCCUGAGUCAUUUUGCCUCCUCUAGUAAUGACUCUGACAGAAUUGUCAUUUAAUUCAUUGAGCAAGUUAUUCUGAGCUUUAAGUACUUGUUCUGCCUGAGUAGUAAUCAUAGAGGCAUGUUUACUGAGCAGCUUCAGAUCAUUGGCAUUUCUGUCUACACAAGCACUUAAAUGACUAAGCAUACGAGUACUUUGUUCCAAAUGUCUGCUAACAUAAUCAUUGAAACUUUGUUGUUUGGCAACAAAGUUGUCAAAUUCCUCAAAGCAUAGGCUAGCAGGUUUAUCAAAAGGAAUAUCACUCUCAUCGAAUCUAUGCAGAGAAUUUACUUCUACUACUUGUGUCCGGUUAUCGAGACCAUGGAUCUCUUUGAUAUGUGGUAGAUUUUUGACAUCUUCAGAUCUAAUGCCUUUCUCUUGCAUAGAUUUCAUGGCUUCUUGCAUAUCUUCGGGACUGAGGAAUAGAAUACCUCUUUUCUUAGGAUUUGGCUUAGGAGGUGGUUCGGGAAUAGUCCAAGCAUUAUCGUUGAUCAAGAUGUUAUUCAGUAGGAUCUCAGCUUGUUCUACACUUCGUUCCCUAAAAACACAACCGACACAACUAUCUAGGUGGUCUCUGGAAGCAUAGGUAAGUCCGUUAUAGAAGAUAUCAAGUAUCUCGUUCUUCUUAAGAGGGUGAUCAGGCAAAGCAUUCUGUAGCUGGAUGAGCCUCCCCCAAGCUUGUGGGAGACUCUCUUCUUUGAGUUGAGCAAAGUUGUAUAUUUCCUGCAAGGCAGCUUGCUUCUUAUGGGCAGGGAAAUAUUUCUCACAGAAGUAAUAGACCAUAUCCUGGGGACUACUCACACAUCCAGGAGCAAGAGAAGUGAACCAGGCUUUAGCGUCAUCCUUUAGAGAGAAAGGAAACAGCUUAAGGAUAUAGUAGUAGCGGAUCUUCUCCUCACUAGUGAAAAGGGUGGCUAUAACGUGUAGUUUGGUAAGAUGGGCUACGACCGUCUCAGACUCAUAACCGUGGAAAGGAUCAGAUUCGACUAGAGAGAUUAUCUCAGGGUCGACAGAAAAUUCAUAAUCCUUAUCGGUGAUAAAGAUAGGUGAAGUGGAAACUUCGGGUCGUAGUUCAUCCUAGCUUUCAGAGAUUUUUCCAUCCACUUGAGAAGUAAUUUCUCAGCGUCAUAGGCAUCCUUACACGCAAGAAAAUCCUCAGCUAUCUCUCCCUCCAUAACAUAACCCUCAGGUAUAUCAGGCAAUUCAUAUCUAGGAGAGCUAGAUCUAGCAGGAGCAAAAGCAGGUUCUAUUUCAAUAGUAUCGAUAGUUUUAGAAGCAUCACGAGCAUUGACAGUAACGCUAGCAAUAUGAGCAUCAAGGAAUACCCCUAGUGGCAUAUCAGGCAAAGUAGUAUCUCUAGCAGUAUCAAGCAUAGCAUCAUCAGGCAAAAUAGCAUCUCUAGCAUCAUCAGGCAAAGCAGUAUCAAGCAUAGCAUCUCUAGCAGUAUCAGGCAUAACAUCUCUAGCAGUAUCAGGCAUAGCAUCAUCAAGCAUAGUAGCAUCAUAAGCAUCAUCAAGCACAAGCGACAUAUCAAGAUUUCUAGGAGGAGGUGGUGUCGAAAACUUACUCAUAACUGAAGGUGAAUCAAGUGCAGAGCUAGAUGGCAGUUCCUUACCUCCCCUCGUAGUUGAGGGCAAGACUUUGGUUUUUGGAUCUUUCAGAUUCUUCAUAGUGAUCAGCAGAUACAAAUCCCAAGUGACUCAGAGAAUAUAGCAGUCCCUUCCCUGGCAACGGCGCCAGAAAAAUGCUGCUGACGUGCAACUAUUCCUGACUUGAUACCUCCACGGCAACAGAGCGAGAAAAGGGCUCGUCCAUAUUGCUCAACAAUUAAAUUGUCUUGCAAUCGCCCACCAGCGCGUGGGAUCGCGGCAGUUUUCAAUGGUAGAGUAUUCAACCCAAAUUUUUGGUUCACACGACGGGAAGUGAAAGAAUAUUCUCAAGUAUUAGCAGCUGAAUGUGUCAAAUUCAACCACACCUGAAAGAUUAGUAUCUGCAAGCAAAGUAGUAUGAUAGCAACGGUGCCAGAAACGAUCUGUUGACGGCAGACUAUUCCUAACUGUUGUAUCAAUGGCGCGAGUAAGUUGCCCGUGGACGGGAAAUAUUCUUUCCCGUCAACGGCGCUAGAAAAAGUAUUGUAGCAGGUAGCAGCAGUGUAACGAGUAACAACAUUGGCAAGGAAUAGCAGUAGUGACGGCAGUAGCAAGUAGCAGCAGUAGCAAGUAACAACAGUAGCAAGUGACAGUAGCACCAACAGUAGUAACAGCAGCAGAGCAAAGCAAGUAACAGCAGCAGAGCAAAACAAUUAACAGCAGCAGUGGGACAAACUCGUAGGCAAUGGGUCGGUGAUUUGUAGAAUGAUAUUCAUCAUGCAACAGUUAUAACACGGAGAGAUAUGUGGCUAGCUCCCGUUCGUCAAUGUGAUGUAGGCAUGCAUUCCGUGUGUUGUCAUACGUGCUUAGGGAAAAUAACUUGGAUGACAUCUAUUGUCCAUCCCUCCCGUGGCAGCGGGGUCCAAAAGGAUACUACAGGAUAUUAAGGUUCUCCUUUUAAUAAAGAAUCGGACCAACGCAUUAGCACUUGGUGAACACAUGAACUCCUCAAACUAUGGUCAUCACCGGGAGUGGUUCCGGGUAUUGUCAGUCCGGGGUUGCCGGGUCAUAACACAUAGUAGGUAACUACAGCUUGCAAGAUCGGAUCUAAAACACACAUAUAUUUUUGACAACAUAAUAAUUUCAGAUCUGAAAUCAUGGCACUCGGGCCCUAGUGACAAGCAUUAAGCAUGGGUAAGUAGUAGCAACAUCAAUGUCAAAACAUAGUGGAUACUAGGGAUCAAUCCCCGUCAAAACUAACUCGAUUACAUGAUAGAUCUCAUCCUACUCAUCACCGCCCAGCGAGCCUACAAAUAGAGUACUCACGAACGAUGAAGAGCUUCAUGGAAUUGGAGAGGGAAGAAGUUUGAUGAUGACGAUGGCGACGAUUUCCCCUCGCCGGAGCCCAAAACGGACUCCAGAUAUGUCCUCUAGAUGAAGAACAGGAUGUGGCGGCGCCUCCGUAUCGCAAACGCGAUGAAAUCUUCUCUUCUGAUUUUUUCUUCUUACGAAAGGGAAUUUAUAUAGCUGAGUUUGGGGGCGGCAGAGCCACGUGGGCCCCACAAGCUUAUUUGCCGCGGCCAGGGGGGUGGCCGUGGCAACCGGGCUUGUGGCCCACUAGCCCAUCCCCUCCGGUGGAUCUUUGCGCAGGUAUUUUUCAUAUGUUCCAAAAAUAUUCUCCGUAAAUUUUCAGGACGUUCCGAGAACUUUCAUUUCUGCACAAAAACAACACCAUGGCAAUUCUGCUGAAAACAGCGUUAGUCCGGGUUAUUUCUAUUCAAAUCAUGCAAAUUAGAGUCCAAAACAAGGGCAAAAGAGUUUGGAAAAGUAGAUACGAUGGAGACGUAUCAACUCCCCCAAGCUUAAAACCUUGCUUGUCCUCAAGCAACUCAGUUGACAAACUGAGAGAGACAAAAGAAAAACUUUGACGAACUUUGUUUGAUCUUGUUGUUGCAACUAUGUCUAACUCACAACUAGAAUUUCAGCAAGAUCACAAGUUAACCACAUAAGCAAGUGACACAUAGGUCUCACAGUAAACUAGUAUCAAUGGCAUAAUCAGCUAGCGAGCAAAUAAUAAUGAGUUUCAGAUACCGACAAUUCAAUCAAAACAAGCAUGAAGCAAUAUGAAUAGGUGGUAUCUCGCUAGCUCUUUCUGAGACCGCAAAACAUAAAUGCAGAGCACUUUCAAAGAUCAAGGGCUGACUAAACAUUGUAAUUCACAGCAACGAAGAUCCAGUCAUAGUCAUACUCAAUAUAAAUCAAAAGCAAAGCAUAAAAAUGACAGAGGUGCUCUCUAAUUGGUGGUUAUAUAAGAAGAGGAUGACUCAACAGGAAAAUAAAUAGACAUGCCCUUCGCAGAGGGAAGCAUUAAUUUGCAGAGGUGCCAGAGCUCAAGCUUUGAAAACAGAGAUAAUAAUUUUGGGUGGCAUGCUUUCAUUGUCAACGCAAUGACCAAGAGCUCUCAAUAUCUUCCAUGCUACUCAUGCUAUAGGCGGUUCCCAAACAGAAAGUAAAGUUUUAACUCCCCCACCACCAAUCAAUCACACUCCACGGCUAGCCGAAUCCUCGGGUACCGUCCAUACUAACAUCAAUCCAGGGGGAGUCUUGUUUUACAGUUAUGUUUUCGAUUUAAGCGUGGAACCGGGCAUUCCAAUUACCGGCCCCUUUCUCGUGAAUGACAGUGAAUAAACACAUGUCGAGGAUAACAUGCCUAACAUGGAAGAUACCAGUAGCCCCUGUCACCACAUGAGCGGUUCGGGCAUGCAAAACAUAUUAUUUCUUGAAGGUUUAGAGAAUGGCACAUGCAAAUUUACUUGGAACGGCAGGUAGAUACCGCAAAUAGGUAGGUAUGGCGCACUCUCAUGGAAAAACUUUUGGGUUUAUGGAAGUGGAUGCACAAGCAGUAUUCCGCUUAGUACAAGUGGAGGCUAGCAAAACACUGGGAAGCGACCAACUAGAGAGCGACAACAGUCAUCAAGAUGCAAUGAGUUUGACUCACAUAGAGUGCAAGCAUGAACAGGAUAUAAAUCAACAUGAAUACGAACAUCAUAGAGGCUAUGGUGACUUUGUUUCAACUACAUGCAUGAACAUGCGCCAAGUCAAGCCACUUGAAUCGUUCAAAGGAGAAUACCAUCCUAUCAUACUACAUCAUAGUCAUCUCAAAAUCUAUGUUGGCAUUCAAGACAAACCAUUAUAAGCUCCUAGCUAAUUAAGCAUGGCAUCAGAAACUAUGAUCUCUAACUUGUCAUUGCAAACAUGGUUCUCUCUCAACAAAGCUGAAUAUGGAACAACAAGCUAGUCAUAUUUACAAAAAACAAAAUAGAUAGAGUUCAUACCAGCUUUUCAGUCUCAGUCACUUCAUCAUAUAUCAUCAUUAUUGCCUUUCACUUGCACGAUUGAACGAUGUGAACAAUAAUAAGAGUGCUCGUGCAUUGGACUAAGCUGAAUCUGCAGGCAAACACAAAGGAGAAGACAAAGUAAUAUGGCUCUUUGAAAGCUAAACAGGUAUGCAUGCAAGAGCCACUAAACAUUGUAACCAAUAUCUUUUACCUUGACCUAAAGAAAAAGAAAAUUAUUUACACGGGAAAGCUCCCAACAAGCAAAAGAAGAAAGGAAAAUCUUUUUGGGUUUUUUCAAAAGGACACAAAACAAGAAAACAAGAAAAUGAAAAUAAACUAGCAUGGAUAAUACAGUGGCAAAGUGUAAACACCAGCUAACAAAGUGAAAGCAUAAGCAUGAAUGUAAAGCCCAGGCAAAGUAACGUAACGAGAACCAGUAGUUAAAGACUCGUAGGCAGUGGAUCGGUGAUGGAUGAGUAUGACGGAUGUGAUUCAUCAUGUAACAGCUAUAACACGGAGAGAUAUGUAACUAGCUCCCGUUCGUCAAUCUAAUGUAGGCAUGUAUUCUGUAUGUAGUCAUACGUGCUUAGCGAAAAGAACUUGCAUGGCAUCUAUUGUCCAUCCCUCCCGUUGCAGCGGGGUCCUAAUGGAAACUACGGGAUAUUAAGGUUCUCCUUUUAAUAAAGAACCGGACCAACGCAUUAACACGCGGUGAAUACAUCAACUCCUGAUACUAUGGUCAUCUCCGGGAGUGGUUCCGGCUAUUGUCACUUCGGGGUUGCCGGGUCAUAACACAUAGUAGGUGACUACAACUUGCAAGAUAGGAUCUAAAACACACAUAUAUUGGCGACAACAUACUAGGUUCAGAUCUGAAAUCAUGGCACUCGGGCCCUAGUGACAAGCAUUAAGCAUAGCCAAGUAGUAGCAACAUCGUUCUAGAACAUAGUGAAUACUAGGGAUCAAUCCCCGUCAAGAACUAACUCGAUUACAUGAUAGAUCUCAUCCAACUCAUCACCGUCCAGCAAGCCUACAAUGAGAUUACUCACGAAUGAUGAAGAGCAUCAUGGAAUUGUCGAUGGAGGAAGGUUGAUGAUGACGAUGGCGACGAUUUCCCCUCUCCGGAUCCCGAAACGGACUGCAGAUCUGCCCUCUAGAUGAAGAACAGGAUGUGGCGGCACCUCCGUAUCGCAAAACGCGAUGAAACCUUCUCUCUGUUUUUUUCCAGGCGAAACGGAAGAUAUAGAGCUGAGAUUGGGGGCGGUGGUGCCACGUGGGCCCCACAAGCCUGCAUGGCGCGGCCAUAGGGGGUGGCCGCGGCCUAUGGGCUUGUGGCCCACUGGCACGCCCCCUCCGGUGGAUCUUUGCGCAUGUAUUUUUCUUUUAUUCCUGAAAAAUAUCUGUAAAUUUUCAGGACGUUCCAAGAACUUUUAUUUCCGCACAAAAACAACACCAUGGCAAUUCUGCUGAAAACAACGUCAAUCCGGGUUAGUUCCAUUCAAAUCAUGCAAAUUAGAGUCCAAAACAAGGGCAAAAGAGUUCGGAAAAGUAGAUACGACGGAGAUGUAUCAUGGAGCAGUCCUAGUAGGGCUUCGCCAAGCGCUGCCGGAACCGAUCUGAGGAGAAAACAGAGUUAUGGGAGAGGUAGGGCUGUCACUCGGGCGUGCAAAUUGUGGUUUUCAGCCCCUCCCUCUCCCCCACUAUAUAUAGGAGGCAAGGGGGGGAGGGGUUAGGUUGCAGCCCUAGCCCCUCCUGCAAGGAGGGGGCGUGGGUCCAGGGAGGAUUCCUCGCUCCCCAAGGCACCUGUGAGGUGCCUUCCCCUUUAGGGAUUCUUCCCUCCCAACAGCAUGGGCCCUUGGGGGCUGGCCCAACAAGGCUUAGACGCCCCCUUAUAGCCCAUACAUGUCCUAGGGGUUGAAGGGACCCUUCUGGACUUCUCCGGAACCCUCUGGAACCUUUUGGAACCUUCUAGAAGCUUCCCGGUACAAUACCGAUAAAACUCGAAACUUUUCCGGUAGCCAAAAUAUGACUUCCCAUCUAUAAAUUUAUACCUCCGAACCAUUCUGGAGCUCCUCGUGACAUCUGGGACUCCAAACAAUAUUUGAUCACUAACGUAUAUAUCCCAAUGCUACUCUAGCAUCACCGAAUGUUUAGUGUGCAGAGCCUGCGCGUUCGAGAACUAUGCAGACAUGACCGAGGCACCUCUACGGUCAAUAACCAAUAGCGGGACCUGGAUGCCAAUAUUUGUUCCUACAUAUUCUACGGAGAUCUUUAUCAGUCGAACCACAAUGUCAAGGAUUCAAUCAAUCCCGUUUGGAGUUCCCUUUGUCCAUCGGUAUGUUACUUGCCUAAAUUCGAUCGUCGGUAUCUACAUACCUAGUUCAAUCUCGUUAUCGUCAAGUCUCUUUACUCGUUCCCUAAUACAAAAUCCCAUGACUAACUCCAUAGUCACAUUUCUUGCGAGCUUCUUGUGAUGUUGUAUUACCGAGUGGGCCCAGAGACACCUCUCAGUCAUACGGAGUGACAUAUCUAGUCUUGAUCCAUGCCAACUCAAUAGACACCCUUAGAGAUACCUGUAGAUCAUCUUUAUAGUCACCCAGUUAUGUUGCAACAUUUGAUACACACAAGGUACUCCUCCGGUGUCAGUGAGUUACAUGAUCUCAUGGUCAUAGGAAUAGAUACUUCACAUGCAGAAAACAAUAGAAAUAAACUGACAUGAUCAUAUGCUACGUUCAUAGUUUGGGUCUUGUCCAUCACAUCAUUCUACUAAUGAUGUGACCCCAUUAUCAAAUGAUAAGUCAUGUCUAUGGCUAGGAAACCUUAGCCCUCUUUGAUCAACGAACUAGUCUAGUAGAAUGUCACCAGGGACACAUGUUGUCUAUGUAUCCACACAUGUAUUUGAGUUUCCAAUCAAUAAAAUUAUAGCAUGGAUAAUAAACGAUUAUCAUGAACAAGGAAAUAUGAUAAUAACUAAUUUAUUAUUGUCUCUAGGGCAUAUCGCCAACAGCUGGAUGACGGCGGUCUCCCUCAGGGUCAAGGCUGCCCCGUGCUAGAGGCCGUGAAAGGCGUGCGCGACACCCAUGGUUGUGCUUUCUCAAGGUUCCGCCGCCGCCUCGACUGGGGUUAAGGACCCCUCAAGCCCCGCUAGGACAGGUGCCAAAGAAGAAGUUUCACCGGCCGGAGGACCACCGAGGGGCGCCCCCGGUGUAGCGCUCAUGGGCCUCUUAGACGCAGACACCCUAAAGAACACGGUAAUGGAAUCGUCAUGUCACGCAGGAUACGCGAGGGUAGGCGAUGACAACGGCGCACUUACCCAUCGCUGGUGUCCCGGCGCCAGCGAGCUGGGACUGACCUUGGGGGCCGAACCUCGCCGCCCCAAAGGAAUGACGGCAGUGUUGAGAUCCCUGCCCGUGAUUCGCUGCUCGUAGUACUCCGUUGGACGUCAUGGAAAGAGAGAAAGUUGAGUUCACUCAAGGACGGAGGGGGAUCAGAGGUGUUUCCAGCCCCCGGGUGCGCUGGUUUUUAUAAGCGCAGCCACCAUUCCAAAGGCUGCGCAUGGGGGCGCUGGCAAUGAGUGCACCAUUGGACGCCGCGUGCCAUGCCUAGUCCAUGGGCAGUGGGGUCUCGUGCCUCUCGACUCUACCAAUGAGCUGCCCCAUGCAGGUCGUAGGCCUGGGGCGAUCCAGCACGAGACGGGUGGCGCAAAUAGGCACCGUGUACUAACGGAGCAAUGAUGACCAUCGCUGCACACAGGCGGCACGACAACUCGCUUGGAGUAGUUCCCGAAGUGUUGUGGGAAGGAAGGAUCCCACAUCGUGUCACGUGCCAUGCGUCGAGCCUGGCCCACAGGCGAUUGGGGCCCACGUCGCCUUGCCCCUCCCGUUGGGAGGAGUGGUGCUCAACGCGGGCCCCAGGGCUACUGUUGGGGCCCUGGGAUUGGGGAUACCCAGGCCCGUCAGCCUGCGGCCGCAGGCGGGACGCGGCGAGAUAAGCCUGGUUCGGCCCAUCGGUGAGCCCGACAAGGAGAAGCCUCGCGAGGGCAUGUGCCUCGCGAGGCGAGCGCUUGAAGAUUGUCAGCCAGGGCCUCGGGAAGGCGUCCAUCGUGAGGUUUUGCCAUGAGACCCCCGUGGAGCAAGGCCGCCGAGGGAAACUUGGUCGGGUCCCAUGACCCAGCUCCUUCAUGUGGAUAAGUGAUGACCCACAAGUAUAUGGGGUCAAUUGUAGACUUUUCAAUAAGUAAGAGUGUCGAAUCCAACGAGGAGGAGAAGGAAAUAAGAAGUGGUUUUCAGCAAGGUAAUGUUUGCAAGUGCUAAAAUUGUAAGUAGUGGAGUAGUUUGAUAGCAAGAUAAUUUGUAACGAGCAAAUAACGAAAGUAGUAACAAAAGUGCAGCAAGGUAUCCCAAUCCUUUUGAGGCAGAGGACAGGCCAAAACGGUCUCUUAUGAUAAGCAAAGUGUUCUUGAGGGUACACGGGAAUUUCAUCUAGUCACUUUCAUCAUGUUAGCUUAAUUCGUGUUCACUACUUUGAUAAUUUAGUAUGUGGGUCGACCGGUGCUUAGGUGUUGUUCUUACUUGAACAAACUCCUACUUAUGAUUAACCCUCUCACAAGCAUCAACAACUACGAGAAAAGUAUUAAGAAUAAAUUCUAACCAUAGCAUUAAACUUUUGGAUCCAAUUGGUCCCUUAUAGAAUAGUGCAUAAACUAGGGUUUAAGCUUCUGUCAUUCUCGCAACCCAUCAUCUAAUAACUACUCCACAAUAUAUUCUCUUAGGCGCAAAUAUGGUGAAGUGUUAUGUAGUCGACGUUCACAUGACACCACUAAGGGAAUCACAACGUACAUAUCAUCAAAAUAUCGAACACAUAUCAAGUUCACAUGAUUACUUGCAACAUGAUUUCUCCCGUGACCUCAAGAACCAAAGUAACUACUCACAAAUGAUAAUCAUGCUAAAGAUCAAAAGGGUAUUAAAUAGAAUAAUGGGUGUGAACAUAUAAUCUUCCACCAAAUAAACCAUAUAGUAAUCGACUACAAGAUGUAAUCAACACUACUAGUCACCCACACUACUGGAAAAACCUAAUUUGCCGACAGCUUUUGGCUUUGCCGUCAGCAUUUUCACGGGGCUGACGGCAUAGAGGCUUUACCCUCAGCCGAAAUUAAUGCUGACGGCAUAGGCACGGAAGACGGCAUAUAAACUCUAUGCCGUCCGCUCUAUCUAAGCCAUCAGCCAGCUGACGGCAAAGCAGCAAAAGACUGACGACAUAGGGCGGCUAACGGCAUAGAGAGGUUCUCGGUCCCAUGUUCGACCACGGCUUAACGGGAGCCGUCUAUGCUGACAGCCAGCUGAGGCAAAGCCUAACGACUGUCUUUCCCGACACCCAGCUGACGGCAUAGCCGGGUAGUUAUCCCCCCGUGCAGGCCACGACCUAACCCUCUUCUCUCUCACCUCUCCCACCCAUCUGCUUCNNNNNNNNNNNNNNNNNNNNNNNNNNNNNNNNNNNNNNNNNNNNNNNNNNNNNNNNNNNNNNNNNNNNNNNNNNNNNNNNNNNNNNNNNNNNNNNNNNNNNNNNNNNNNNNNNNNNNNNNNNNNNNNGCCCCGUGCCAGCCCCGCCCCGACUCGCCGGUGAGCUCCUCCUCCCCUUUUUUUUGAGUUUAUUUUUUCUAUGUUAGUUAGAUUUGUUAGUAGUGGAUUUUUAGUUAAAUUUAGUUAGCAAUUACUUAGUGGUAGAUUUUUAGUUAGAUUUAGUUAGCAAUAGAUGUUAGUACAUGUAAGUAUUAGUUAGCUAGCUGUUAGUAUUAGUUAGCUAGCUGUUAGUAUUAGUUAGCUAGCUGUUAGCAAUAGAAAGAAAAUAAUAAGAAGAAAAGAAAUAGAAGAAGAGAAGAGUAACAAAACUUGAAUAAUAAAUUAUUAAUAAUAGAUGUUAGUAUUAGUUAGCUUAAUUACCGCGAGUGCAUAUUUGUGUUGAUUGAGUGCAUUUAAAUGUGCAGUAGCUUAUCCGCGAGGGUUUGGUUUUCGACGACCUCCCCUGCAUUCGAAAGUGAGCACAUUUAUUAACUCCUGCUCCACCCCCUUUAUUUUGCUCUGUUCCGGCCUUCGUGCUUAUGACACUAUCUAGCUAGGUAUUUUUAGUAUUAAAAUGCACAGUUGUUGCGUAACCAAUAUGCGUCUCCCGUUCGAGAGGGUUCCUGUCAUAAAUAUGCAUGCAUUUGCAUAUUUAUAACGGUGAUUCUUUCGAAUUGUCCAACGUUAUCCAUGGACAGCCCGGGUAUGUGUAGAUUGGGUCGUUUCCCACGCUUUGCUCCUGAUCCCAUGCAGAGUUUCGACAGCUCCUCCUUGUUGUUCUCCGGGUACACAUCCUCUCGGUUAGUUGCCGAUACGUGUAUCAGGAGAACAACGGGGAGGUGCUGCCAAAAAUUUGCGUUGAGUCGGGAGCAGAGCAUGGGGAAAUGACCCAAUCUACACAUACUCAGGUGGGAUUAGGACCCAUCUUUACCUAGUAGCUGGUAGGUGUGCAUGCCGUGCAUCCCAAUGUAUUAACCAUGAUUAAAAAAUGGCCAUAAUUAAUUUAACAUUCUGGAUGAACUGAUAAUUUAUAUUUUUUUAUAUGUGGAUACUAUGUAGCUAGCUUGCCAGAAUGACUGAUCGUGAAUGGAUGUACACCGUUCACCAUAGUCAGAGAGAUAUGACCGAUGAAUGGUUGAGCAAAACCUAUGAAUUCAUGGAAAUGGCAUUUUCUAAAGGCGAGCCAAAAACAUGGUGCCCCUGCACUAAGUGCAAGAAUUAUUCGCGACAGACAAAGGAUGUAAUGGGUAAACACCUGCAGAUGCGUGGUUUUACUCCCGGCUAUACCUUGUGGACAUUUCAUGGUGAGUCGGCCCAACUUAACAGAGACGAGGUGUUGCGUCGGCGCACCGAUGAUUAUGGUACAGGGAUUGAAGACAUGGUGAAUGACUUUGAUGAUGCUCGGAAUAAGGACGAAGAGAUGGAGGAAUCCGCGAAAGCCUUGUAUGCCAUGUUGGAGUCUUCAAAACGUCCUCUUCAUGAGCACACUAAGAUUUCUCAGCUAGAUGCCAUCGCACAAGUAAUGGCUCUAAAAGCCCAAUUCAACAUUGGAAGAGACCUGUUUGACUCAGUGAUGACCCUAUUUGGGCGCUUUCUACCCGAAGGUCAUAUUAUGCCUUCAAACCUAUAUGAGUCAGACAAAAUCCUUAGUGCACACAAGAUGCCGUAUGAGCAGAUACAUGCUUGUGAGAAAGGAUGUGGCUUAUUUAGGAAAGAGUAUGUAGAAGAAACAUAUUGUCCAUUUUGCAAGUCCUCCAGAUAUGUUGAGGUAGAAAAGGGUGAAGGUGAGAAGAAGCAGAGAAAAAUCCCCGUGAGUGUCCUAUGGUAUCUGCCGAUCCUACCAAGACUUCAACGACUUUACAUGCUCGAAGAAACAACAAAAAAGAUGACAUGGCACAAACAUGGAAUUAGGAAAGAAUUAGAUGAACACGGAGUUCCGAUGUUGGUACACCCUUCAGAUGGUGACGCAUGGAAGGCAUUCGAUAGUAUACAUAAGGAAAAAGCUAAAGAACCAAGGAAUUGUUGAAUCGCCAUCAGCCUCGAUGGGUUCAAUCCUUUUGGUAUGACGGCUACCCAAUAUAGUUGCUGGCCUGUGUUUGUCAUUCCCCUCAAUCUUCCACCAUCAUCCAUUAUGCAAAGAGAGCACAUAUUUCGGACGUUGAUAGUUCGAGGGCCAAACUACCCCGGGAGGAAUAUGAGUGUGUACAUGCAUCCGCUGAUGGAUGACUUGAAAGAAGCUUGGGUGAAUGGGGUCAACACAUACGACGCAGCUAAGAAAGAGAACUUUCAAAUGUAUGUUUUGUACCAAUACUCGUUGCAUGAUCUGCUGGCAUUUGCGCUUUUCGUUGCCUGGUGUGUGCAUUGAAGGUUCCCAUGCCCACAAUGCAAGGAGGCUCUUAAGUUUCAUUGGUUGCCGGCGGGUGGGAAGUAUUCCUGCUUUGACUUGCAGAGACAGUUCUUGCCUAUGGACCAUCCAUUCAGAAAAGACAAGAAGAAUUUCAUGAAAGGUAAAGUUGUCAAACACUCAGCACCACCUGCGUUGACGGGGGCACAAAUUAAUUAACAGUUAAAAUCUAUGGAGCCUGAUCCAAACCGUCCAGGGUAUUUCUUGGGUUAUAAUGAGGAACACGCGUGGAACCACAUGCCAUGCAUCUGGUAUCUCCCUUACUUCGAAGACCUCUUACUUCCACACAACAUUGACAUGAUGCACACUGAAAAGAAUAUCGCCGAGGCCCUUCUUGGCACAUUUUUCGGCACUGAUAAGGGCAAAUAUAAUACAAAGGCUAGAGUUGACCAGGAGACUCUAUGUGAUAGGCCAUCACUAAACAUGCGAGAACCGAAAGGAAGAAAAAAUUGGUCCAAACCACCUGCCUGGUAAAAUCUUGAGAAGGGAGCAAUAAGGGAAAUCCUCUUGUGGGUGCAAAAAAGUUGUUGUUCCCCGAUGGGUAUGCUGCGAAUCUAGCAAGGGGAGCGAGCAUUGAAAAAAUGAAAAAAAUUGGGCUCAAGAGUCAUGAUUGGCACAUAUGGCUUCAGCGGAUAAUGCCGGUGAUGUUGCGCGGCUAUAUCCCCAAGGCUGAAUGGCUAGUAUUGGCCAAGUUGAGCUAUUUCUUCCGUGUUCUUUGUGCUAGAGAGUUGGCGCGUGCCUUGAUAGAUGACAUGGAAGAGUUCGCGCCUGAGUUUCUCUGGAAGUUAGAGAAGAUUUUUCCAUCGGGCUUCUUUAAUCCGAUGCAACACAUGAUUUUGCAUCUCCCAACCGAGGCAAGAUUGGGUGGCCCUCUGCAAAAUCGUUGGUGCUAUGCAACUGAAAGAAUGCAGAAGACACUUCAAGGAAAAUGUAAAAAUAAACGUAUAAUUCAAGCAUCGAUGGCCGAGGCGUUCAUUACCGAGGAGGCCGCAAACUUCGUAACAGCACACUAUGAUGCCACUAUGUACAACUUGCAUAAUCCAAAGCCUCGGUACAAUCUGGGCGACCCCAAACGACAUGAAUCCAAUCUUAGCCUCUUCAAAGGGAAGCUCGCACCUUCUGGUGUGGGAAAACCAAAGUUGUUGUGCGUCGAGGAGUGGUGCACACUAACGAUGUAUAUAUUGAACAACUUAACAGAAGUUCGGCCAUACAUCGAGUAAGUGCUCUGUACAUUGUUUUGCAACUUUUAACAAGUUUUGUGUCUAACAACUAUUAUUAAUUGAUACAGUCGAUACGUCGAACAAUUCUCAAAUGAUGUUGCAAUCGAAAAAGAAUCCAUUCUCGAGUAUGAACUUCUUGAAAAGACAGGAGGCGGUUAUCCCGGUUUAUCUCUUGGUUCAAAAAAACGGUACCUCCCUUAUAUAUAAUACGUGUUUUCCUUUGUUGCUAUUACUCAUGAGUAACACACCAAAUUCUAUCUUUUCUUAACUUCUAGGCUAAUUCAGAUGAGCAAGUCGACGAUGAAUUGAGACAAAUAGCUAAUGGUUUUGACUUUAAGGUCCGUACAUUUCAGAAGUACGACAUCAACCGGUAUCGCUUUCGUACUGCUAGCAAAGAGCUUUCAAUGCUCGGUCGAAGAACAAACAAUUCCGGUGUCUCUGCUAUAGGCGAGGGAGGUGUCGAGUAUUAUGGAAGACUUGAAGAAGUCUACGAACUUCAUUAUUAUGGUGAAAAUCCUUCGAACGUUGUUGUGUUCAAAUGUCAUUGGUUCGAUCCUACUAAGACAAGACGGACUCAUGAACAUCUUGGGAUUGUUGAAAUUCGACAAGACAGGAAGUUAAGCGGUGCCGAUGUCUAUAUUGUGGCUCAGUAGGCCACCCAAGUUUUCUAUCUGCCAUACUGUCGUCAAAGUGUUAAGAACCUGGAAGGUUGGUAUGUCGUGUUCGAUGUGCCGCCACAUCUUAGACCACCUCCCCCAAAUGAAGACGAUUAUGAACCUCAAAUUGACCUAAUAACAUAUGAUGGAGAAUUCUUCCAAGAAUCACGUGGCGUGAGACGUCAUACCCGAAACUGCUCUACGUCCACCCUGAACACGGAGGAACAAGACUAACGUGAUGAUGAGGAAGAAGUGGAAGUAGAAGAAGUUACCAAUGCCGAUGAGCUAUCAAUGCUUGAUCGGUUACAAAAAGGCCUUCCACAUGAUGUCCCUGAACCCGAUGACGAUAUCAGUCAUGACGACACGUGUGAUACUGAUGAUGAUUUUGCUUCAAUUGACCAUGGAGAAGAGACAGAUGAUCCAGACUAUUAGUACUUUGUAUGCAUCCAAACAUUGUUGUUUAAUUAUUAAAUUAUUAGUUGAAUUAUUCAUGUAUUUAUUAUUGUUCGUUUAAUUAUUGUCCUUGAAUUUGUACUAAUUAUUUAACUAUUUAUCGUUACAGGUGGUGAGACAUGGCAGACGGGGAUAAGUUGAGGAUAGCACCUGGGCAGGUAUGGAGAAAAUUGUUGCAGAGCUUUGCCGAGGAGCCCCGUGGGAGAGAUGGAGGAAAGAAGAGAGGCAGAGGACGUGGUCGUGGGAGAGGGAGGCUGUAUGAUAGGAGCCAGUCGCCACCACCCUCGGCUACUUCUGUCUCAGCCACUUCACCCUUGCAGACCAGGGUGUCACCGGUGCGGGAUCCUCCCGUCCAGGAGGAGACACCAAAGCAGGGGGCUGAGCCGGAGACUGAGGUGGAGGCUGAGGAGGAGGCUGAGGCGGAGGGUGCUGAGGCGGAGGCUGAGGCGGAGGGGUGUGAGGCGGAGGCUGAGGGGGCUGCCAGCAAGUCGGUCUACCAAUGUGGUAUGACACGAGUUCCAGACCGAUUGGAGUUGCAGCACAGGGUGUUCAUUAAGCCAGAUGGCGAGAAGUAAGUUGAUAUAUAUUGUGUACCUUAUAUCAUUAUAUUUCACCAAGUAGCUAAUGUCUUUGCCUUAUCAUUAUGUAGGGGGUGGGAUUACCCGAAGAAUACCCGGAAUCCAAACUGCCUCUUUGGUGCUUUACUUAGGGAGCACUUCCCCGCGAUAGUGCAGUUGCCCGGUGAGGGUAUGGUUCCCGAGCCAGGACUCAAGUGGGAGCACUACCAAGCCGCUCUGCUCCCAGAAAACACACAUGUCAAUGGUGUUGUUUGCGUGAGGUUUUGGCUGAUUUUUGGGUAACUAUUAUUUUACCCAAUAAAAAUUAUACAAUGUUAUAUAUUUUUAUUUCCUUCCAAAUCAUUUCACUAUUCAUCUGUGCAUCUAUUUGGCAUAAUUGUAGAGUUACUUUAGGGUCGAGGAGGGAACGGAGGAGGCGUCCAAGAAGAACCUCGUGAAAGAGUGCAAGAGUUUAUUGAAUACCACGAGGCACGAGCUGCGUGUUCAGGCUGUUCGAGAUUGGUACGCCAAGCAAGGGGAGCCGAAGACAAAGACUGAAUGUCGAAAGAUUUACCUUGAUAAGACCGAGUACAUGGAGGUAUGUACAUUCCAAAGAUCAAUUCUUAGGUCUAGUUAGGUCUAUUUAGUUAUAAUACUUAGUUUCAUUCUUCAUUAACUUACAUUCAUAGGUGCCCCCGAGAUGGUUGGCCGAUAAGAUGGAUUGUUGGGAGAUGAUAGUGGACAGGUGGUGCACAGAGGCUUGGUUGAGCACCCACACUAUGGCCAAGGACUGUCAUGCCCAUUUGGUUGGUGUGCCACACCACCAAGGCAAUGCCAACAUCAAGCAAUACGCCAAAAAAUGAGUAUGUGUGCCUUUUUUUGUUUCAUCAAUAAUUCAUUCGUUCAUGAUUUUUGUUGUACUAAUUCUUUAUCUUUUCGUGUAGGCCAAACACAAUAACCAGCCCGAGCCUCAGGGAUACGCCGCGUUUAGCAUGGCCCAUAAGGGCUCAUACAAGACGGCGAAGGAAUAUUCUGAGGGGGACAGGGCGUCGUCAUACACAAGCAUGUCCACCUACAACAAGAUGACGUCUUAUUCUGAGGUGGUCAAAUAGCUGCGCGGGCCUGACUUUGACCCGAGCCAGAAUCCUAUCGAUCCAGAGGCGUUGAUGAUCUCUGGUGGCAGUAAGAGUCAUGGCACGCUCGCCAUGUGUGAUCGCUUCGUCCCUAUCACUGAGACUCUAUCUCAGAUCAAGGUGAGGCAAACGAUCUCCGCUCCUGUAAUACGGCAACGCGUGAGGCCAGUUGAUCUUGCCAUCGAGGUUAGUUUUCUUCAUUGUUUUUUUCGUUCUUUUGUCCCUGGAUGGAUGAUAAAAAUUCCUUUUGAGGAGUGGUUGCAGGCCGCACUUAUGAAGGAGAGGGAGGCCACCAGGCUCUUGUUGGAGGAGAGGGACCGGAAUACGCAGAGGUUGCUUGAGGAGGAGAGGGCACGCAAUAAUGCCCAUGCGAAGGCCAUGCACGACUUCCUCGCGGUAAGUCAGUUGUGUGAGAAGCAAGGCUAUGUGUGAGACGCAACAUGGCUAUUUCUUUGACUCCUCGAAAACUAAUUUGCAGGCUAUGUGUGAGAAGCAAGGUUUGCCGCCCCCUUCGCCGAUGCCUUCUCCGGUGGGAAUGGUGAGUUCCCUUUCAAUGACCAACCUUGCACGGUCUUAUACCAUUGUCUCUCGCCAUGCUAACCACAUAUCUUUACUCUUGCCUUGUUGCAGCAUCAUUCCAGAGUUGAAUCCCACGAUCCCUUUACUUCUCCUGGUGAGAGCCCUAGCAACCCAGCGACCAACGGAGAUGCAGCUUCUCCUAAGUCUCUUGGCAUUCGGUAAGUUAUUCCUCUCCUUCUUAUUCUUCUUAUUGUUUAGAUCAACUUAGAUUAUGCCAUGGUUUAGUUAGCUUAGUAAAUUCUAGUUGAUAUUAGCCAUGCUUUAGUUAGCUUAGUAAAUUAUAGUUGAUAUUAGAGCUCAAAAAUUACAUAAUUAGUUUAGAAAGUUUUAAAAGAAACCAGAAGAUAAGAACAAACAAGAGAUGAAGAAAUAAGAGAAGAAGAAAGAGGAGAAAAAGAUAACUUCUUCUUCUUCUUCUUCCACUUCGUCUUCUUGUUCUUCUUGUUCUUAUUCUUCUUCUUCCACUUCUUCUUCUAAUUGCUUAGCUUAAUUUAGAUAACUUCUUUCUUAUUGUAUUCUUAUUCUAACUUCUUUCUCAUUAUGCAGAUUUUGAUAAAGCAGCAUGGCAUAUGGAUGGAUGCUCUAGGGACUUUGUAAUGCACUUGUGUAGUCUUAGAUGAACUUUGUAAUGCACUUGUAUGUGUGGAUGCACUUGUGAUGCUUUGUAAUACUUUGUGAUCUUGUUUGCACUUUAAUUACAUAUAUUCGUGUUGUUUGCACUUUGUGAUGCACUUGUGUUGUGCUGUUUGCACUUUGUGAUGCACUUGUGGUGCUGUUUAGGGGCUGGGCAAAAAUAUAUAUGUUGCUGUUUGUAUCUAUGAUUUGCAAAUGCAGGGAAUUAACAAAAAAUGAAUAUGAAAAAAAGCAAAGAGGGUCUUUGCCUAUAGCUUACUGACGGCAACGGCUUUGCCGUCGGUGGACUGACGGCAAAGAAGACACGUGGCGGCAGCGUGUGUAUCCUGGCAACUCAGGGAAUACCUAAUUUUCCCAGAUUUUCGGCUUUGCCGUCAGCUGUGCUCCAGCUGCCGACAAAGAGGGGACCAAGGGGACCCAGGUUUUCGGCGUUGCCGUCAGCUUUGCUAUGGCUGUGGGCAAAGAGGGGACCCAGGGGACCCAGGGUUUCGGCUUUGCCGUCAGCUUUGCUACGACUGUGGGCAAAGCCUGCCGUUAACCUUCUAACGGGGCUCGGCCUGCGCCGUUGCCGCCAUUGCUCUUUGCCGUCAGCCCGUGCCACAAAGCUGAUGGCAAAGUCUUUGCCGUCGAUCGACCUUCAGCUGACGGCGAAGAAGGUGAUUGCCGAUAAAAUCUUGGCCGGUUCCUUUGCCAACAGCACACUGACGGCAAAGCCUUUGCCGUCCGUUAAACUGUCCGUUGUCGUCAGCUCUAGCUGUCGGGAAACCAGCAGAUUCCAGUAGUGCCACAAGCACCAAACUAUAGUUCCGGUACAAAGAUUGAAAACAAGAGAUGAACUAGGGUUUGAGAGGAGUUGGUGCUGUUGAAGAUGUUGAUGAACAUAGCCCUCCCCAAGAUGGGAGAGUUGUUGGUGAUGAUGAUGACGAUGAUUUCCCCCUCCGGGAGGGAAGUUCCCCGAGUGGAAUCGCUCUGUCGGAGGGCAAAUGUGCUCCUUCCCAAGUUCCGCCUCGAGACGGCGGCGCUUCGUCCCGAAAGUCCUCUCCUCCUUUUUUAUUCUAGGUCAAAAUGACUUAUAUACCUAAAGAGGGGCACCAGAGGUGGGUCUGGGUGAGCACAUCCACCGGGGCGCGCCUGGGAUCCCUGGCUCGCCCAUGUGGGUUAUGCCCACCUGGUGGGCCCCCUCUGGUACUUAUUUGCUCCAAUAUUCCUCAAAUAUUCUAUAAACAUUCCUCGUAAAGUUUCAACUCAUUUGGAGUUGUGCAGAAUUGGUAGAGUGACGUAGCUUUUUCAGGUCCAAAUUUCCAGCUGCCAGAAUUCUCCCCCUUUGUGUAUACCUUGCAUAUGAUGCGAGAAAAGGCAUUAGAAUAACUCCAAAAGGCAUUUUUAUACAAUAAAACAACAUAAAGAACAGUAGGAAAAAAUGAUGCAAAAUGGACCUAUCAACUUCCCCAAGCUUAGACCUCGCUUGUCCUCAAGCAAAAACCAAAAUCGAAAACAUGUCCACAUGCUUAUAGAGAGAGAGGUGUCGAUAAAAACAAAAAUACGGACAUAGCCGCUUCAUGUAACUUAUUAUAACUGAAAGUGCGUUAUAUCGACUAGAGGGGGGGUGAAUAGGAGAUUUUUAGAAUUUCAACACUAAGGAAAUUCCUUUUGAGGAAAUUCGUCACUGAUGACUAACUUGCAGCGGAAACAACAAAGGAUCAGGAGUGCAAAGUAUCACCACAACAGUUUUCAAGGUGAAGAAUAUGAAAAGUAGUUUGCACAGUAUGUAGGCAUAGAGAGCACAGGUGAAGAAUAACUCGCGUGAAGAAUUUGGGGUUGAGGUAUUUCAGAGAAAGUCUUCAGCAAAUUCUUCAAACAGUGACAAUUAAAAUCUUCAACAUAAAAUAUGAGGAAUUUAAAGAGUUGAAGAAAUAGAACCCGCUUCACAGUGAAGACAAUGGUUGAUGACCCAGUUCCAACUGUUGUGACAGUUGUACAUCUGGUUUGGAGCGGCUUGGUAUUGAAACCAAAAGACACACAGUCCCGAGAAACAUAGUCCCCACCGUAUUCUCCUUGGGCUAAUAACACACAGUCCUCGCCCAACACUCCUGGUAAGUCUUCGAGGCAGACUUCGAAACCCUCACAAACUUGGUCACCUGGUAAUCCACAAUUGACUGCUGGAUUUGUGUAGACCAUGACGCCUAACCGCCUAGAGGAUGCAUAGUCCUCAAAGGUAAAAGGCUCCAGUCCCACACAGGAACAACUUCUUCAGUGAUGCUCAAUCACUUGGUUUUCGGUUUAUGGUUUGGUGUUUGGGGUAUUUCCUCACUCAUGAAUUACUCUCGAAGACUUUGGGGAAUUUGGGUUGCUCUUAUGACAAGUGUCAGUUUCUAACGGAGCAGCCAACCCGCUAAUGGUUGUGGGGGGCGGCUAUUUAUAGCCUGGGAGCAUUCCAACAUCAUUUCACAUUAAUGCCCUUAAAUAAUAUGACCGUUGGUGUGGAUAAUAUUAGUGAUGUGGCACGAAUUACGGCAAUGGUCGGGACCCUCACUGUGAGAGUCCUCAUGUCUCUCAUCUUCCUCACUUGAGGCUUUUGGUAGGAUUAGGCUUGGGUUGAGCAUCAUGAGGAAAUUCAUCCCGACAUGUUACUUUGACCCCCUUUAAUAGUACGGUGUUCCUAUGACUCAAAAGAAAAUAAAACAGACAGAAUAAAUAUUCAUGCUUCAAAGUCUUCAGAUUGAUUUUCUUCAGGACGCACCGAAUUCCUCAUUUUCAAUAUCUUCAUGAGGAAUAUGAAUUGCAUCGCAAUUUUUUCGCGAUUCAGUUCUUCAGCUUCAGACCAAUUUCUUCAGCCAAAGAUAUACAUUUUUAGGGGCCGAUAUUCAUCGAAUAUUUCAAACUUCUCAAUGACUUCUAGAUCCUGUGUACACUCAUGAACACAUUAGAUACUUAACCUAUAAGUCUUCAAACCACCAAAAUCACUAAGGGGCACUAGAUGCACUUACAAUCUCCCCCUUUUAGGUGGUUGAUGACAAUUAGGUUAAGCUUCAACGGGGAUAAAAAUAUGAAGUGUAAAUACUCAUUUGAGGAAUUUGAAAUCAAGAUUCAGAGAGACUCCCCCUAAAGAUGUGCAUAUCUUGAGGAUUGUGCUUUUUACAGCAGAUGCACAUUAAUGAUUUAUAUCAUGGAGAUCUCCCCCUGAGUCUUGUAAAUCAUGCAUACAUACGACAUAUAGUAUGAAGAAAUUGGAAUGCAUGAUGAGAAAUGGUAUCUGAAGAAUUCUAGCAUGCGUGCAUUAAUAUUUUGAGGAAUAAGCAUGCGAAGAAAAAUGUUCAAAAGCGUCAGAGUACCAUCGGGCUUAAGUUACAACUCAUUACAUAAAACACUUCAGAAGAGCCAAGAGUUUGUAACUUAAUAAAGUUUAUAAGCCCUCAAAAUAUAUCCCGCGUGAAGACUAACUCUUAGAUUUCUCCCCCUUUGUCAUCAAGUGACGAAAAGGGACAAAGCCGAGGACUAACGUCCCGUGAAGACUUGCACUUCUUGGUAGUUGAGUAAGACACGUGAGGAUUUUUGGGAGCAGGCUUCCUCCUUGGACCAGUGGCAGUGUCUUGUUGGUCUUCAUCUGAUUCUGCAGUGCGGAAUGAAGAAAAAGAACUGUCCUCAAGGUCUGGAACUGGAAUUGGCCUGAAUUUCUUCUUUGGUGGCCAUGACCAGUCGAAGUCCUGUGCAAACUCCAAUUCUUCAAGUUCUGCUAGAGUCUUCAAAUGAGUCAGUGUGGCCCAGGUGCGAUCAAAAACCUCAUGAAGAUAAUGAUCAUUAAGCUUCACUUCAUUCUGAGUCUCAUUGAGGGUUUUCAAAAUGGCGCCAAACUGGCGUUUGACCCACUUGUGAUUUCGAUCUACCUUUUGAUGAAGACUAAGGAGAAGCUCUCUGGUAUUCAUCACCCUUGGAGCAACAGGACUUGGCGGCUGGGUUUCAGUAUCAUCCCAUGAAUAAUAUGCAUCUGACUCACAAAACUGGCCUUCAAGGGGCUGACUGCCUUCAUCAAUCACAGACUUGCCUUUUCCUUCAACUCGCUCUAAAGUCUUCAUGUUGACCCUGAUUGGAGGCAUAUAGCCAAUGUGAUUGUUGAAAUCAGCAUGAUAGUUGAUGCCUCACCCGUGUCUGAUGAAUCUCAUGAUCCAUGGAGCGUAAAUCUUCAGGUCAAAAGGGGACAUAGCAUUUUCCGCGAGAGUCCUCAAGAAGAAAUCGUGAAUGUUUACGGGAAUGCCAUGGAUGAUGUUGAAGAGGAUAUUCUUCAUGAUGCCUACGACAUCUUCUUCAUCAUCAUGGCCCUUGAUUGGCGCAAGAACACUUCAGAGGAUUCUGUAAAUAGUCAUGGGUUCAUACUUCAGCUCAUGGACCAGCAAGAUUGUUCUUGGUGGUUCCCACUUGGCCAAAGGCUUCAUAAGGACUUCCAUCAGCUUAUUGGGCACCUCCUGUUCAUCAUACAUCUUCACGGUCUGUUCUAAAGGAAUUGACAUAGGAAGUUCUCGCAGCAGCUCAUUUGCAGGGGCCUUGAACUGUGUGUGCUGCGUCAUCCAAUCCAGCACCCAAGUGUUGAUAUCUGUUGGAUCUCCAGAGAUAUGCAGAGUUGCAUAGAAUUGAAGAACGAUGCCGCUGUUCCAAUUGCAGAUAUCAGAGCACAGAGGGAGCAGUCCUGCUUCAUGAAGAACGUUGACGACUUGGGCAAUGCAAGGAAUUUCUUCAAGCUCAACAUGAGGAAUAUGUCUGUGCUGAUUUUUUUUCUACCACAAAGCACAGAUGCAUAAUAGUUGAGCUGAGUCCUGGUCCAAAACUUCAUGUGCCUGAUGCGAGGCUUGUCAUAAGGAUUUUCUCUCAUGAAAUACACGCGUUCUUCAAAGAGCGCUUCCUUCUGAAACUUUGGCCGCUUGGAGAAGGGCUGACACUACAUGGGCUGAAGGUUUUGCUUCUUCCCUUGAGGAGAGAUAAUCAUUGCAGUCUCCGGAUUGAUAACUACAAGAGCAUUCUGUGUAUUUGGCGCAGGGACAUUAUCUUCAGCAUGUUCCUCAGGAUGAGGAAUUUCAUCUGCCUGUGCCUCAGGUUGAGGAUCUUGCUCCGGGUGAGGAAUUUCAUCAACCUGAGCCUCUGGUUGAGGGUUUUGGUCAAGAGGAGCAAUCUCUUCAUCCCGAGCCUCGGGUUGAGGGUUUUGCUUAGGAUUUGGAUUUUCUUCAGGCUGAGGAUCUUCUCCUUGGUUUUCCUCAGCUUGAGGAGUUUGCUUGGUGGAGGAGCCAAAUUCUUCAGCUGGUGCAGCUGAUCCUUGAGCAGUUUCUUCAGGAGGAAUGAAUGUCUGAGGACUGUUAUCAAUUUGAAUUUCCUCAUCAGUGUGUUCCUCAGACUCAACAUUCUUCAUUUCCUCAUCGGUCAUAUGCUCCUUGUCUUCGCUUUCGAAGGGAGUCAUUUCAUAGAAUGGAGCAAUAUUGAGAGGCACAGGAUCCAACGGAGCAUUUUCAUCAAGAGAUUUGAGGCGAUUGGCCUCAAUUGAUUCUUCUGUGGAGGAAGCUUUUCUUUUCUUAGCUUCUUUUUCUACAGCUUGGUUUUCUUCACGUCUGAUGCAGACGGAGUCAUUUUCUUCACCUUUGAAGAUUUUGGUGAAGGAAUUUUCUAUUCAGGAGGCGGAGCCGUAUCCGUCCUAGCAGUUUCCUUAGCUGAAGCAAUUUCUUUAGCUGGAGCAGAGUCAUCAGCUGGCUCCGAAGCAUCAGCUGGAGCAGACUCAUCGGCUGGCUUAGAUGCAUUAGCUGGAAUUUCCUUGGUUAUUUCGUCAAUAGCCGGUUCAUCAGCACGACUUUCUUGAGGUAUUUCCUCAGCAGGGGUAGGUUGUUCUUCCUCAAUCUCAGGCUGCCGAGGUGUUCUUGGAGGGGCAGCCUUUUUGUUGUAAUCAUCAACUACAUUGGUAGAAAACUUGAUGAAGUUGUUCUUGAGACUUUGACGAUCAGAUAGCUUGGUGUACUUGUCAGUCAAAGUCUUCAAGUCUGCCUGAGUGGACACAAGUGCAUCAGGCGUCAAGCUGAGGAGAUUUUGUCUGAGGAAUUUCUCCUUUUUCAGCUUCACCAUGUGGCUGAUGCCUGGGGGAAGCUUCAAGUCAUCAAUAGGCGUGUUGGGGUCAUCAUACUAUACAUUGAUGUAGUCCAAAAGGACUUUUUGGUCCGUGGCCAGAGGAAUGGCGCUAUCUAAAGCUUGUGCAACCCUCUCCUCCUUGUUUCUGAUGAUUGCCUGCAAAGUUUUGGGGUUCCUCUCCCAGCAGUCACCUUAGUCUUCAUUGGAGUUGGUGAAGACUUUGUCUCUGAGCUCGUGCAGAAGGAAAAGAGGAGCUGGAAACAGUCGGCAGUUGCUUCACAAUCUGCUUGUGUUGAGGCUUUGAAGCCUUUGGUGGAGCUGUGGGUUUUGGUGCGGAUGCAGGUGCAGACUUCUGAAGCAAUUUAUACUGAGGCUUUGAAGCCUUUGGUUUUGGUGGCACAGACUUCACUUGAGGAAUGGCACUGCCAGAAGUUUCAGCUGCACAGGAGGUGGCUGCAGUAGCAGCAGAUUCUUCAUUAAAUUUCCUCAUGGCAGCUUCGGCCUGCUUCUGAAGCUUUGACAAGUGUUUUGUCUUUUCCUCAGGAUAGUCACCAAACGUCUUGAGGCUUGAAGAAUGGGCAUCCCGAAAAUCCACGAGAGGAGGCCGUUUACGAGGAUGCUUAAGAGCAAAUUUCUUCGCGUACUUUGGAGUGACGAAUUUGUAUUCUUUCCACUCCUUAGCCCACCGGCGUUCUAUCUUGUGAAGCCUUAUCUUCCUCUUGGGCAUUGUUUCUUGCUGAUCUGGUGUGCAGUAUUCCAGGUAUAUACCAUCAGGAAUAUCGAUGGCAGUGUUCUGUUCGAGCUUCUUGCCACCCUUUUGCUUCCUUUCAUCUUCCAUUUACUUCAGCUGAGGCUUUUGAUAAGGAAAUUGAACUCUUGAGGAUUCUGGUGACACUUGCAGAUUUUCUUCAAAAAACGCUUCAAAUGAGUUAAGUUGAUGAGAACCUAGAGAUUCAUCAGCUGAAAUUUUUGUGCCUAUGAACAAAGUAUGGUUGCGAGGAAUAUUGGAGAGGUUAUAUGCGUUCUCAGAUUUGAUGAAAUUGCAAAUUUUAAUAGUUGAGGAAUUUGACCAGUGGGGAAUUUGUCUAAGCACUCUAAUCUUGGGUUCCAGAGUUGUACAGAUUCGAAAAUUUGCACAAUGGAGGAAUCUCAUGAAGACUUCUAGAUGCUUAGUGAAAUUCAUCAACAGUUGAGGAAUAAGCAAUGUUUGAGGAAUAGAGAUUGAUAGACACUUGAGGAAAAACAGAUUUAACAAAUCUACUGUAAAAUAGUAGAUUGAAAGGGGCUGUAAAAAUAGGGUUUUAUUUACUCUAUAUAGCGUGCACGAAGAACAGAGGAAGAAGAAGCAGUAGAUGCUCUUCGGUGCGAGUCCACUGCACUCUAACUUGGCAACAGAGGACAACUACGGCGGCGGCGGACGAAGACGUUCCGGUUCCGGCGUGAUUUCGGCGACGGAGAGGUCGAGGCAGUAAAGCUUUUCCUCGCCGGCGACAAAACUUCUAGCGGUGCAACUAGGGAUUUGCUGUAGCAGAGAGAAGGUCGAGAGAGAGAACGAAGAUUUUUGACCGGAGGAGGUAAGGACAUAUUUAUAGCCCAGGUGAAAACUGUCCGGCCGAUUCUUUCGAACUGAACAACCCCUGCCCUUUCGUCUCCGCAUGACACGUGUAGCAACCGUUUAAAGCGGUGGAGAUCGUGCUUAUCUGAUCUUGGUAAGUGGGGUUCAGUUACUGUGUAAUGCUACGGCGACUGAAAUCCUUCUGUUGCCUCUUGAGCUUGCGUUGGUUUUUCCCUUAAAUAGGAAAGGGUGGUGCAGCACAGGAGCAGUAAGUAUUUUCCUCAGUUUGAGAACCAAGGUAUCAAUCCAGUAGGAGAAUCGUGCCAAGUCCAGAGUACUUGCGCUAACACAAAAGAGCUUGCACUCAACAACAUAAAGGGGUUGUCAAUCCCUUCAAGAUUGAUUGCAAAGUUAGAUCUGAAGGCGGAAAGUGCAAGGAAGUAAAAUUGCAUGGCUGAAAAUAUGGUGUGAAGUAGACCCGGGGGCCAUAGUGUUCACUAGAGGCUUCUCUCAAAAUAGCAAAUAAUAUGGUGGGUGAACAAAUUAUUGUCGAGCAAGUGAUAGAACCGCGCAAAUUCAUGACGUUAUCUAAGGCAAUGAUCAUACAUAUAGGCAUCACGUCCGAGACAAGUAGACCGAUACUUUUUGCAUCUACUACUAUUACUCCACACAUCGACCGCUAUCCAGCAUGCAUCUAGUGUAUUGAGUUCAUGACGAACAGAGUAACGCUUUAAGCAAGAUGACAUGAUGUAGAGAGAUAAACUCAAACCAAUGAUGAAAACUCCAUCUUUUUACCCUUGAUGGCAACAACACGAUGCAUGCCUAGCUACCCCUUCUGUCACUUGGUGAGGUCACCGCACGGUAUGAACCCAAAACCAAGCACUCCUCCCAUUGCAAGAAUCAUAGAUCAAGUUGGCCAAACAAAACCCACAACUCGAAGAGAAUUACAAGGAUAUGAAAUCAUGCAUAUAAGAGAUCAGAAGGAACUCAAAUAAGAUUCAUAGAUAAUCUGAUCAUAAAUCCAUAAUUCAUCAGAUCUCGACAAACACACCGCAAAAGAAGAUUACAUCGGAUAGAUCUCCAUGAAGAUCAUGGAGAACUUUGUAUUGAAGAUCCAAGAGAGAGAAGAAGCCAUCUAGCUACUAGCUAUGGACCCGAAGUUGUAUGGUGAACUACUGACGCAUCAUCGGAGAGGUCAUGGUGUUGAUGAAGAAGCCCUCCGUAUUCGAAUCCCCCCUCCGGAGGGCACCAGAACGUGCCCCAAAUGGAAUCUUGUGAAGACAGAAGCUUGCGGCGGCGGAAAAGUAUUUUCGUGGAUCCCUCUCGCAGUUUUGGAAUUUUUUUGAAUUUGUAGGCGGAAGAGGUAGGGCAGACAAGCCACAGGGGGCCGACAAGCCUGCUAGGCGCGGGGCCCCCUGGCCACGCCUAGGGGACUUGUGGGGUCCCCUAGUGGCCCCUGCCUUGGUUCUCAAGUCUCGUGCGUAUCUUCUGUUAGAAAAAAUCUUUUCGGAAGUUUUAUUCCGUUUGGACACCGUUUAAAAUCCUCCUCUGAAAAGGGUCAAAAACACGAAAAAAACAGGAACUGGCACUUGGCACUGAGUUAAUAAGUUAGUCCCAAAAAAGAUAUAAAAGGCAUACAAAACAUCCAAAGUUUGACAAGAUAAUAGGAUGGAACCAUGAAAAUUAUAGAUACGUUGGAGACGUAUCAAGCAUCCCGAAGCUUAACUCCUGCUCGUCCUCGAGUAGGGAAGUGGUAAAGACUGAAUUUUUGAUGUGGAAUGCUACCUAGACUAGUUGUCCUUUGUAACUACUUUCAUGUGACAUGAAUGUUCAGAUCCGUAAGAUUCAAAACAAUAGUUUGGUAUUGACAUGAAAACAAUAAUACUUCAAGCAAACUAGCAAGGUAAUCAUGAACUUUCGAUAUAACAAGGCCAAAGAAAGUUAUCCCUACAAAAUCAUAUAGUGUGGCUAUGCUCCAUCAUACUCACACAACUAAUUUAAAUCAUGCACAACCCCGGUAUUGGCCAAGUAAUUGUUUUUGCACUCUUACUUUCUCAAACCUUUUACAACUAUCACGCAAUACAUGAGCGUGAGCCAUGGAUAUAGCACUAUGGUGGAGUAGAGUGUGGUGGUGGUUGUGAGACAAAAAGGAGGAGAUGGUCACAUCGACUCUGCGUAUUAAAGGGCUAUGGAGAUGCCCAUUAAUAGAUAUCAAUGUGAAUGAGUAGGGAUUGCCAUACAAAGGAUGCACUAGAGCUAUAAGUAUGUAAAAGCUCAAAAGGAGAACUAGUGGGUCUGCAUCCAACUUGCUUGCUCACGAAGACCUAGGGCAAUUUUGAGGAAGCCCAUCAUUUGAACAUAUAAGCCAAGUUAUAUAAUAAAGAUUCCCACUAGUACAUGGUGGUGAAAAAACAAGAGGCUCUCAAUCAUGAAGAACAUGGUGCUAUUAUGAAGCACAAGUGUGGAAAAAGAUAGUAGCAUUGUCCCUUCUCUCUUUUUUAUUUGGGCUCUUUGGCCUCUUUUUUCAUGUGGGCAACUUUGGCCUCUUUUUUUUAUUUCCUCACAUGGGACAAUGCUCUAAUAAUGAUGAUCAUCACACUUUUAUUUACUCACAACUCAAAGCUUAGAACGAUUAUGACUCUAUAGGAAAUGCCUCCGGUAGUGUACCGGGAUGUGCAACGAUCUAGCUUGGCGUAUGGCAUUGAAACAUCUAGCUAGCUAUCUUAUGAUCAUGCAAUGGAAAUACGAGAGUGACGACACUAGUCAUGAGAUGAAACGGUGGGAGUUGCAUGGCAGUACAUCUCGGAAUGGCUAUGAAAAUGCCAUAGUAGGUAGGUAUGGUGGCUGUUUUGAGGAAGGCAUAUGGUGGGUUUGUGCACCGGCAAAAAUUGCGCGGUACUAGAGAGGCUAGCAAUGGUGGAAGGUGAAAGUGCAUCUAUACCAUGGACUCACAUUAGUCAUGAAAAACUCACAUACUUGUUGCGAAUGUUUUUAUUAGUAAUCGAAACAAAGUGCUAAAUGCAUACUCCUAGGGGAAGGGUUGGUAGGUGUUAACCAUCACGCGAUCCCGACCGCAACACAAAGGAUGACAAUCAAUAGAUUAAUUAUGCUCCGACGUCCUAACAUAGAGGUUCACCAUUCAUGCAUGUUACGUGAAUCACUAACUUCAACACAAGUAUUUCUAGAUUCACAUAACCCUACUAACAUAACUCGUAAUAUUACCAAAUCCACGUUUCAAAACUAACUGAGAGGAAUCAAACUUCUCUUUCUACUCAAUGCACAUGAAGAUGGAUGUUUUAUUGUAUCCUCUUUGGGUACCUAUCACCUUUGGGACUACUUUCAUAGCAUAAUCCAACUACCAAGUUAAGCACCGCCGUACUCUAAAAGAUCUAAGUCAAGCACAUAGAACAAAAUUGUCUAGCUCAAAAGGUAUAAGUGAAGCAGAAUGAGCAUUCUAGCAAAUUCACGAUGAGUGCACGUCUCUCUCAAAAGGUGUGCAGCAAGGAUGAUUGUGACACAACAAAAAUAAAAGACUCCUACGAUACAAGACGCUCCAAGCAAGACAUAUAUCAUGUGGUGAAUAAACAUAUAGCUCCAACUAAUGUUACCGAUGGAUUGAAGACGAAAGAGGGGAUGCCUUCCCGGGGCAACCCCAAGCUUAAGCUUUUUGGUGUCCUUGAAUUUGGCUUGGGAUGCCUUGGGAAUCCCCAAACUUGAGCUCUUUCUACUCUUUAUCCCUUUGUCCAUGAGAACAUCACCCAAAACUUGAAAACUUCACAACACAAAACAUUAACAGAAACUCGUGAUAUCAUUAGCACAAGAAAACAAACUACCACCUCUUGAGGUACUGUAGAAAUCUUUAUUUUUCUUUAUAUUGGUGUUAGAUUAAUGUAUUCUCACUUUUCCAUGGCUAGUACCCCCCGAUACUAUCCAUAGUUUCAUCAAAACAAGCAACCAACUCAACAAAAAUAGAAUCUGUCAAAAACAGACCAUUCUGUAGCAAUAUGUAUACUUCGUAUACUUCUGUUACCUCAAACAUUCUGAAAAAUUACAAAAGCCUGGGCAAACGGCAUAUCAACCAGCAGCCAAAAGAAUCAACUCAAAAGCUCUUUCUGAAUAAAAAUGAAAAAUAUUUUUGUGGGCGAAACAUUUCUGUAUUUUUCCAGCAGGAUCAAACAACCAUCACCAAACUAAUCAUAAAAGUUUUGCUUGGCUCAAACACAAAAAAGAAA
rnacentral:lncRNA from 1 species